AAGAAAAAUUAUAGGGGUCAAAUGGUAAGAAAAGUUAACAGAUAUAGAUAAAUUACAUACAACAAAUCAAUACCAUGUAACAAACACAAUAUAUCACAUGCUCAUAAUGGAUUAAUUCCUUCUUUUAUUAAAAUAUAGCAUCAAUUUCUUUACAAUUGAUGGUUAUUGCAAAAGUAUUCAUUUGGCAUAAGAGGAAAACUAUUUAACAAAAUCAUGGGUUAUAGAUGAUGGUGUAGUCUUGACUAUCAUGGUGAUACUUAUUGUAACAUUCUUCUGGUGUAAGUCCAAAGCACUUGUCGCUAUCAGGUGAUAUUGCAGAAUUAGAUUCUUGGCCGGUACUAGUGCUUGAAACAUGUGAGUUUUCAAUGCUUGCAACCAAAAGCAAAGCCAAGAUAAUGAAACUGAGACUCUUCGACAUGUUAUAAUUUCUAAACUUAAUUAUAAACAACUUAAUUAAAAUAAAAAGGAGGUGAUGCAUAAGAAAUACAUGAGGCCCUAUAUAUAUGAAUGAAUAUUGAGAAAUGCGUUAUAGUGGCCUUUAUGAUGCUUCCAUGAAUAAGCAUUAUAUAAAUCAUAUUAUGUUUACUUUUAUUAACUACUGACUUUAAUAUCUUGUUGCGUUAUCAUCAAUGGUAACCAAAACAAACAACUAAUUAAUUUUAUCAUUUUAGUAUUAUUUUAUUCUUUUUUGUUGUUGUUUUUUUCUCUUUAUUUAACCAUAUUCAAAUUAUUAUUAUCGCUAUUGUGAAAUUAUAAAUCUGAAAGUCAGUUUUUGCAUUAUUUUAUUUACAAUAACUUUUUAGCUAUGUCUAUAUUAGUAUAUAUCUUAUAUUCAAUUUUUAGAUUAAUGUAUUUUAGUAUUAAUAAAUUCAAUCACGAUAAUCUGAUAACCGCUUAAUAUUAAAAUUUAGUUUCCAAUACUUAUGUUAUUUUAUUAAUUAUAAAAAUACUUUUUAGUAGAUAUAUGUAAAUUUUUUUAACUAUACUUAUUGUAAUAUUUUACUUUUAAUAUGAUAUUUAUAUAUUAUUUUUAUGUAGUGUAUGUAUGUAUCUAUGUCCGUUUACAGUAAGUAUAUACUUAGAUAAUGAUCAAAGAAUAUAAUAGUAAAAAGGGGUUCUAUGUGAGUGAUGGAUCUAGAAAAGUAAUUUACCGGGGGCUAGAAUACAUAAGAACAAGAUGUAAAAACUAAAAUUUUAGGGGUUUUCAGGUUUAUGGAGGUUCAUUUUUUUUCUAAUAGAUUUAAUAAAGGGAUUAAUUAAAUAAUAGUAAGACCACCCAUAUGAGUUAUUGUGGGCUUUUAAUUAAAGAGUGGACUUUUAUAAUUCUUAUAGUUAAAAUUUAAUUUUUAUGAAUUUAUGAGUUUAUGGGAGGCUGUUUUUAUAAAUCCAACAAGGAAUAUUUUUAUAGAUUUGAAGGGGUCUAAUUAGAAACUCAAGUAAUUUUCUCUUUAAUUUUUAGAAUUUAUUUUCUAGAGCGAAACUCAAACCCCACUGGUCAUGUGCUAGAUCUUUAGAACGAUCUAAUCUAUACAAACCAAAUAUCUUCCUCUCUUUAUGUAGUUAAAAAUUAAUUUUUAAGGGUUUUUUGUGUUUAUGAGGACUAUUUUUAUAAAUCCAACAAGGAGUAUUUUUGCAGAUCUAAUGGGUUCUAAUUAGAAAUUUACCUAAUUUUCUCUUUAAUUUUUGGAAUUUAGUUUCUUGAGCGGAGCUCAAACCCACUGAUCUGUGCUAGGUCUUAAGGACGAACUAAUCUAUACAAAUCAAAUAUCACUCCUCCUCACUCGUUCCUCAUAUCUUUUUUGUGAUUUUGUCUAUUAUUGGCCAUACUGAACCAUUCAGUCAUAUUCAUUGAGACUUUGAAAAUGGUUGUUUAUCUAAUGGGAUAAAUGAAAAAUCAACUUGGCAGAAUUAAUUUUUUGUUUUACAUAUAAGCAUCAAAGCAUGUUAUAGAGAAGACUUGACUAGAGAAUUGAGUAAUAAAAGGGCUUUUCCUUGAACUAGUAGAGUUGGCCAAAGCAAAUCAAAGGCCCAAAAACAAACUGAGCUGCCGAUUAAGUUUUGAAUGAUUAAUAGUUGCUUUCAUUAUACAAAAUACACCUACAACCACUUAAUUUAAAAGGCCAACAGAGUGGUGCUGUUGGAGGUUUUUAUUGUCUGUAAGGAGUUCUGUAAGAAUAUGAGAGAAUUAACAUGUUAUUUUGAAAAAAAUAAUUAAUGUUGAUCCCAUAUUCUGGAAACUCUCAAACAAGAAAGAGCUUUUGAUAUCCCAAUAUAAUAAUAAGUGACUACCUAAUUGUCGCGAGGAAAAGAAAAACAAAGAGAUGAAUCAUGAAUUUGAGUUUAAUUUUGGAAUUUUGAUAAAUUGAUUAAGCAAACAUUUAAUUUUCUAGUUUAGUAAAUAAUGUUUUAAAAAAAAAUGAAUAUUCGAAGUACAUUGCAGAGUGCAAAUAACCUCACUCAUUCCUAAAUUACCCACAUGUUAAUUUACCAUUAAAAACAAUUUUAUGAUAAUUUCUACUCUAGACACCUACUGACUACACUCAUUAAUAAUUUAUAAAUAAACUAAUAUUAUUUUCAUCUUAACAAUUUACAUCCCAGAUUUCUUUUGUCGAUCACAAGCGUAGAGAUCUCAUGGUUUCUAUUUUUUCUGAUCCAAUCUGUAAUAUUUUUCAUGCAAUGAAAAUCUUGGAUAUUCUUCUGCUAACUAGCUUUUAGUUAUGGCUUAAGUGAAAUAUUGAAGAUAAAAGGUCUAGGGUUUUAAAAUUAUUUUGGUGGUUGUAGUGAGAAAAUAAAAACUAAGCCAUGGUAAUUGAUAAGCAACAAAAGCAUCAGACAAAUCAACAAGAACCAAGGUCACCAGUUGUGACAAAUAUGGCAGUAUUGUUGCCUUAGCUAAAGGGUUUACUGAGGACAGAUUAAGGAAAGAACGACGCUGGUACACACUUCUAACGGACACAAGAGAAAUCAGUGUACAUGAUUGAAGGAGUCCAACGGCCACAAGCCAAUUUUGAUAUAAAGCGCUCAACGUUAUGAUUCUCGGAAGUUAGUGUAAUUGAUACAAUUUUGAGAACCUUUCAUUUGAUAAUCUGUGUAUAUAAUGUAAUGAUCGAGCAAAUACAAAAACAAGAAAACAAAUUGUUUUCAAUCAAUCUUGUAUUUCUUUAUGGUAUCAGAGCCUAUGGCUACAAAAAUACAAACUAAGCCCAAACUCUCGAUCCAGUCAUUCCACCAAUGUGCAAGCCUAAUUUCCAUCAAACUCAACAACAAUAAUACCUUAUUUGAAGUCGCAAGUCCUGCCACUGCCACUCAUAAGAAGCCUUGAUCUAGAGCAUCAUAUCAAUGAUGCAACAGUUCCACCAAGAAAUAUUUCUAGAUGGAAAAAAGGUCAACAAUCCUGAAUUUACUAUUUGGCAAAAUAAUGAUGGAUUACUCAUGCCUUGGCUUCGGGGAAUGAUGAACGAAGAUAUAAUGACCAUUAUAGUUGGAUGCGUUUCCACUAGAGAUAUUUGGUUAUUUGUGGAAGAGCACAUGCUUCUGCAACUAAAGAACAAUAAUUUUCGUUGAAGAAUAACUUUUACUCUUUAAAGAAGGGUUCCUUAGAGCUUAAAGAAUUCCUUAAGAAAUUGAAAGGGCUUUGUGACAAACUUGCGGCAAUCGGCAAGCCUAUGUUAGAUGAAGAUCAAGUAUUUCAGAUGUCACACGCCCUUGGCUCAAAAUACUCUGACUCUAAAAUGGCAAUGUUGAUAAAAGCCUCCUUAUCCAUCAAUAAAACAAUUUACUUUUGCAUCACAGAAUCAUAAGCAAGUGAUAGUAAGUCUAAAGGAGAAAGAAAGUGUGAACCAUAACGAGGCCUUUUUUGGCCAGCAAGCUAGAGCAAGAAAUCAUCAUGGGAGAGGCUCAAAAGUGAAACCACCAUGAAGGUUCUAAAACCAUGGAGGCUUUCUACACUCAUGUAAUGCAUGUAGUAGCUUGUAGAUAGUUCCAUGUAAUUAUUGAGAUAGGUAGAUAGUUUUAAAGCAUCAUCUAGACAUUUCCUUGUACUCUAUAAAUAGGAGGGGCCUCAUUUGGCUCAACACACACAAGAAAUCCAGCACUGACAUUACUUAAAAGCACUAUAGGCUUUCCUUGAGUAAUAGAGUUCUUUCCUCCCAUCUUGAGCAAGUUUGAGUGAAUACUCUUUCCCACUUUCGAAUCCAGUAACGUUGUGAGUGAGCAAGGUUCACUUAGGACCAAGAGAGUGAGAUUUAGCACCUAAGGCCCUGCGAUUCAGUGAGGGAUCAAGAGGGUCGUGAUAGUUGGUAUCAAAGCCGUAAUCACUCGCGUCAUUUAAAAGGAAGAAUGUCGAACCUCACUUAUGAUGACCAAAGGGGUAGGGACCAAAAUCCCAACUUGAAAAAGAGAAAGAACAACAAGGAGAAGUCCGUGGAUAGGCUGAAUGCCAUUGAGAAUUGGGUUGUUCGUAGGGAGAUUGUUGUCUUUAAGAUAAAGGAGUGCCUCGAGAUCUUCAAGCAAAAGAUGAAAGAGUUUAAUAAUCUUGAGGGACAAAUGGUUGACUUAAGCCAAGACAUGAUGGUGCAACACUAAAGUCUCAAGAAGUUCCAAGCUGUAGUGAUGAACUAAAUCGAGGGGCUAAGAGCUUAAGUGGAGGAGCUUUACACGGGUCAUAAGGAGACCAAGAGCAAUAGGGCACUUUGAAAGAAGGCGGUGGCCAGCGAAGUGCUCACCACUAAUGUCGUACCUUUAAUAAAGAUUGAGGUUCCUGAGACCAAAGAGGUACAAGGGCAAACGAAAUGCCCAAGAGAUUGACAAUUUUCUGUGGUCCAUGGAGAGGUACUUCGAAACCACCAAUGUUCAAGGCGAGCAAGAAGAGGUAAAUAUUACGAUGGGGUAUCUUGAAGAUCACGCAACUACUUGGUGGCAAUAGAAGCAUGCAAAGAUUAUACGCAGGAUGUGUAUUAUCAACACAUGGGACUUGUUCAAGCGCGAGCCAAAGAAGCAAUUUUAUCCAGGGAGUGUAGCGUAAGAGGCUAACAAAAAGAUGAGAGAACUGAAGCAUACAGGGUCCAUCUCGAGAACAUGAACCCAAAUGACUUGUUGUUCAUCUUUAUGGAAGGACUCUAACCAUGGGCACAACGGGAGCUUCAAUGGUACCAAGUGAAUGACACCUCCACUGCCCUCACUGAGGUAGAUAUACUUGUAGAAUUUCGAAAUGAUGAAUCAUCUAAGCCAAAGAAGGAUGAUAAGCCCCAACAUAGGAAAUGUGGAGGUGCAAAUUAAAAGGAGAUAAGCUACCACAUUAUGAUGGCUAAGAAAAACUGUCACAAAAGAAGGAUGGUUUGAAGGAUGGUAAGGAGAAAGUCAAGCGUAAGCAUAACUACUACCUUUGUAAUGUGGACUAUUGGGUGACAAACUGCCUAAAGAAGAAAGCUUUCAAUGCCCUGUUCAACGAGCUCGAAGAGAAACAACUAAAGGUGCCACCAGCUACAGCCGCCAACAUAAGUUGCCUAUGAAAUUAUAAGAGCUUAUUGGUCCUAAAAAAAUUAUAUUUAUAUAUUUCUAUCAAAUGACAAAAAUUCGGUAUGUAGACAGUGUGCCUGAGAUAUAUAAUUUUUAAAUGAAAAUUGCUAAAGGGACUACAGGCUGAUAAAAUGUUAAUAAAUAAUGCCUUGUAGUGUUAUAGUGUACGUUAAUUGACGAUGUUAUAUAAUUUAUUUUAUUAAUGCUUUGUCACUUUUUUAAUCCAAAUAUCUAAAUGAAAAAUGUUGAAACGAUUUCCUACAAAGUACUACAAAGAUGACAAUGAGAUAGGAAAUUGAAACAACAUUUAUUUAUAAAAAUAAAAAAAUUUGCAAACAAAAGGAUCUCACUAUGUAACCAUAUAUAUCAUUUUAUUGAAUUAUUAUUAGCCAGAGCAUCAUCAUGUUUUUCUUUUAUUCAAGGCUUAGUUAUAUAUAAUUAAUUAAGCAAUGGGAUCAACAAUCUAUAUAUCUAUAUAUAUAUAUAAAGUUGGGACUUGAGGAGGUGAUGUGGCAUCACUAUUUCUCAUCAUCUCAUAUUCUCUAUUUUCUAAUAAAUUAGUUCAAAUUAAAAAAUAAUUACAUUACAAAAUAUUAAAAUAGAAGAUAAUUAUUAUAUUAUAAAUGAUUACAUAUCUUUUCCUCUUUCUAUUUAAAUUCAAUAAUAUGUAACCAUUAAUAAUAAUUAAUUAUAAGUCUUGAAACCUUCAUUUAUUUUAUUAUGCCAACAAUUAAAUUUUAGUGGCUUAAAAUACAUAAAUUAAUUGAUUUUAAUAUAUGAAGGAAUGUUCCUUCAUCUUCUCUCAACAAUGCCAUUAGAGCCUAAUUUUAAUGUCAUAAUCCAAUAUUUAAUUAUUCAAUCUUUUGUUUAGUGCAUUUUGGUUUCUUCAAACUCCAUAAACAUUAAAAAUUUAAGAUUUGUGGCAUCAUUACUUCUCAUCUUUUUGUAUUCUCUAUUAUCUAAUAUAUUGGUUGAGAUUAAAAAAUAAUUACAUUUAUAUAUAUAUAAAGCUGGGACUUGAAGAGGUGAUGUGGCAUCACCAUUUCUCAUCAUCUCAUAUUCUCUAUUAUCUAAUAAAUUGGUUUAAAUUAAAAAAUAAUUACAUUACAAAAUAUUAAAAUAGAAGAUAAUUAUUAGAUUAUAAAUGAUUACAUGUCUUUUUUCUCUUUCUAUUUAAAUUCAAUAAUAUGUAACCAUUAAUAAUAAUUAAUUAUAAGUCUUGAAAUAUUCAUUUAUUUUAUUAUGCCAACAAUUAAAUUUUAGUGGCUUAAAAUACAUCAAUCAAUUAAUAUUAAUAUAUGAAGGAAUGUUCCUUCAUCUUCCCUCAACAAUGCCAACAAUGCCAUUAGAGCCUAAUUUUAAUGUCAUAAUCCCAUAUUUAAUUAUUCAAUCUUUUGUUUAGUGCAUUUUGGCUUCUUCAAACUCCAUAAACAUUAAAAAUUUAAGAUUUGUGGCACCAUUAUUUCUCAUCUUUUUAUAUUCUCUAUUAUCUAAUAUAUUGGUUGAGAUUAAAAAAUAAUUACAUUUCUAUAGAUAUAUAUAUAUAAAGUUGGUACUAGAGGAAGUGAUGUGGCAUCACUAUUUCUCAUCUUCUUGUAUUCUCUAUUAUCCGAUAAAUUGGUUGAUAUUAAAAACAUAAUUACAUUACAAAAUAUUAAAAAUAAAAAAAUUAUUAGAUUAUAAAAGAUUAUAUGUCUCUUCCUCUUUUUAUUUAAAUUCAAUAAUAUGUAACCAUUAAUAAUAAUUAAUUAUAAGUCUUCAAACAUUAAUUUAUUUUAUUAUGCCAACAAUUAAACUUUAGUGGCUUAAAUAUAUCAAUCAAUUAAUAUAGGAAGGAAUGCUCCUUCAUCUUCCCUCAAUAUUGCCAUUAGGGUCUAAUUUUAAUGCUAUAAUCUCAUAUUUAAUUAUGCAACCUUUUGUUCAGUGUCUUUUGGCUUCUUCAAACUUUAUAAAUAUUAAGUAGUUAAUAUUUAUGGCGUUAUUAUUUCUCAUCUUUUUAUAUUCUCUAUAAUCUAAUAUAUUGGUUGAGAUUAAAAAAUUAUUACAUUAAAAAAUAUUUAAAAUAGAAAUUAAUUAAUAUAUUAUAAAAGAUCACAUGUCUCUUCUUCUUUCUAUUUAAAUUCAACAAUAUGUAACAAUUAAUGAUAAAUUAAUUAUAGUUUUGAAACAUUCAUUUAUUUUAUUAAGCCAACAACUAAACUUUAGUGGUUUAAAAUAUAUCAACUAAUUAAUAUAGGAAGGAAGGUUAUUUCAUAUUCCAUCAACAAUACCACUAGGACCUAAUUUUAAUGUCAUAAUUUCAUAUUUAAUUAUGCAACCUUUUAUUUAGUGUCUUUUGACUUUUUCAAACUAUAUAAAUAUUAAGUAUUUAAGAUUUGUUAUGUUUGGGUUUUUUUUUUUAAUUAUUUAACCAAUAUCCUCUUUAGAAAUGUUCUUGUGUUUUUAUUUUUUGACUUAUUUAAAUUUUUUGUAUUGUGUACUUCAUGGAGUAUUCUUUUCUUCAUGAGUUAAACAAUGAUAAAGAUAGUUGGAUGAUAAGAAUUAUGUUUUGUAAAAUGUGGGAGUCUGUUAAUACCAAGAAGAAUGAAGAGUUGAUUAGUGUGAACAUAAUUUUUAUUGAUGAAAAGGUUGUGUACACUUAACUAUACACAUUAAUAUAUAUUUUUUAAGUUAGCAAAAAAAUAAUUAACUUUCAUAAAUAACAUUAGUUUUAUAAAGCUGCGCCAUCUUUUAAAAAAAAUAAUUCAUAUUUUUUAUCAGUUUUAUCAAGUGUAAAGUAAUAAAAAAAUAAUACUAAAUUCUUUUUUUAAAGCCGUACGAACUGCGAUUCUAUUUCCUAGUUAAAGAUAAAACACGAGCUUUAGUAAUUUCUUGAACACCGUGUCCGUGACCUUCUCCAAAUUGGUACAUGCAUUGAGACAUCCUCGCCAAAUUCAUUGCAAUCCCAACAAAAACGUCGGACACGAAAUGUGGGUUUCCAAAUCGAUCACGGUUCAUCUUCAUCCAUGUCUGAGCAAUCAAAUCAUGUAUAUGUUCACGAGCCUCUCUCUCUGAGACUCCAGCUUCAUGCAUGUAACAUUGAAUUGAUUUAUGAACAUCUCCCCUCUUCAGCUCAUCCUAAUAAUUAAUUCAAUCAAACUUAUUGUCAACAACGUUAACAAUUAACUAAUUAUCUAAUAAUCAGAUUGUGAGUACUACAAUUUGUUAUGGAGAAUAUCCUAUACUGCUGAGAAUAAUUCCUCAACUGAUAAUAAGAAUAUAUUAUGUUGUGAGUGGAUAUGAGAUAUCUUCCAUAACAAAUUUAAUAUUAAAAAUGAAUUAAUUGUACCGAUGAUUUUCCCAAAUCGUCUGCAAGUCGUAGAAUUAUUGAUGACCAACGAAUUAUGUUGGGAUAAUCUUUCACGAAUUCCAACCCCUCCGUUGUUAUUGGAUUUGCUGUAGAAGUGUAUGCAUGGACUAGAAUUACAGGUGCUGCUACCGAAAUCCAAGCAUUUUCCAUGUACUCUUGGAGUGUUGGUAUGUAGCCGUUGUCGUACCACUUGGCCUCCACUAAAUAUGUUUUGCAUAGAUUUGCCCACUGAAAGUUUUAUUUUUGUAUAUCGAAUUGAUUAAUAUAAUAUCAAAUACAAAAGCAUAAAUUAAAUUAAUUAAAGGGAAAUAAUUUCUAAGCACCUCAAGAAUAUUAUAAAUAUAAUUAGUCACCAUAAAUUUCUAAUAAUAUCUAGGCGCUAACUCAAAUUUUAGUUUUAUAUCAACCAGACAUUUUUUUAUUAACUCUAUUAGCUAUCAUUAAAUAAUUUAAGGUAAAAGACCAAUUUACCCUAAAAUGAAAAACACAUGGUAAAUUGGUGGUGCAAAAUAAUCUUUUAUCUUAUAUUAUUUUAAUAGUGACUAACGGAGUUAAGAGAAAAGUGAUCGGUUUACAUAAAAUUAAAACUUGAAAUGAUGUAGAGAUAAUACUAGUUAUCAUAGUAGUUAUUUAAACUUUUUGAUAUUCUUAAGGUGAUUGGAGAAUAAUAUUCCUUAAUCAAAAUGAAAGGUUUAAUCUACUAGUACCGCUUUCUUAAGAUAAGAAAUGACCAUGCCAACUCCUUGAUCCCGAAGAGCAUCAAAAGCCAUUUCAUUUAUGGAAUUAUGGAGAGCAAGAAAGCACAACUUCGUAUAGUCUGGAAGUUGCUCUAUUGUAGUAGCGUCCCACCUAACAAUGUAAUACAACUAAAUUAAAAUAAGAGAGGUGUAUAAAUUUAUAAAUUCCUGAGUAAUGAUCUAGUGAAUAAUGUGCUCGCUUUAUGCUGGGCAAUACUAUCACAUAAUUUAUAUAAUUACUUCAUAAUUUUAACAAUAUUCAUUAGGAAUCACAAAAUUAUAUCAUGUGUCCAAGUGUUUAUCAUACGAUGAGUACUAAUCCUCACUAAAUCAUUUUCCAUACACAAGCAUACUGAUAGAAAUGACAUUAAAUAAAAGUAACCUCUCAACUGCAUCCGUGAAAAGUUCAAGUUCGUCCAAAGUCCCAUAGACAUCAUAAACAUCAUCUAUUGUUUUUAUUAAGGCAUUGACCAUUGUAGACAUCCGUCUACUAUAUCCAAAAUCCGGUUCGAAUAUCACCCCCACAGUCCAGAAGAAAUUCUCCAUUAUUCUGUCUCUUGCAAAAUUCAACCUCUCCCCAAGUCCUGUUUUCUUCGACCACCUGACCACAUAAUUAAUUAGCAUGAAAUUAAUUGAGUUACAUAAAUACAUGCUCAGUUAGAUUUAAUCAUUCUUGAGUGCGGAUCUCCACAUUUUUACAAAUGCUAUUGUGAAGAUAGCUCAUUAUGCAGAAGUGAAGAAGAAGAAUCAGCAUGGUGUUAAGCCUUGUAACAAGAAUGUCAAGUUACCAGCUGUCAUUAGUGCCACGUCAGAAGAUCCAAGCCAGCAUCAGUUACCAGCUUAACUAACUUGACAAUGCACACUCUGUAUUUUGUUAUUGUUAGUUGAUUGUUAGUGAGCAAUUAGUUAGAGUAUGUAAAGCAUGUAUAAAUAGCUACAUAUUCGAGAUUGUUAACGUGUACAAAAUAUCAGUUCAUUAAUGAAAUAAGAAAUUUUCCUAUGUUUUUCUCAGCUGCCAAACAGCAGCACUUAUCAACUUUUACAAUUUCUUCAUGGUAUCAGAGCCAUUCAUGGCAACCUCAAGCAAUCAAAAUACAGUAGAUACAAAUCAAACAACUUUUUCUUUCAUCACACCAAUCAAAUUAGAUAGAUCUAACUACAUGCUUUGGAAAAAUCAAGUGCUGGCCUCCAUUAGAGGAAAUCGACUUGAAGGAUACAUUAAUGGAGAAAAGAUUGCACCAAAUCGAUUUAUAGCAUCAUCAAGCUUUGCUGGAGCAACUGCUGGAGCUGCUGGAUCUUCUCAACAGAUCGAGAAUCCUGAAUACACAGUUUGGAUAUCUCAAGAUCAAACAUUACUCAGCUAGCUUCUUAGCUCAAUAACCGAAGGUAUUCUCAGUCUAGUUCACUUAUGUAAUACUUCAUUUGAUGUAUGGAAAACAUUAGAGAAAAGGUUUGGUGUACGAUCUGAGGGUAGAGUUCUUCAACUUAAGUAUGAGAUGAGUGUCUUAAGAAAAGAAUUACUAAGUAUUGAAGAAUAUUGCUUAAAAAUGAAACAAGUUACAGACAAAUUGGCGUGUGCUAGUAGUCCUGUAUUAGAUAGAGAUAUGUUGCAACAAAUUCUCAAUGGUUUAAGAGCUGGCUAUUUGGAUUUAGCUACUUUUAUCACAGCAAGCAAGUUGGAUUAUGAUGAUGCUUAUGCUUUAUUACUCACUCAUGAAGCUAGACUUGAACAAAGUCAAAGUGAAAAGCACAUGUUUAAUGCAAACUAUGCUAAUAUGUCUAACUAGAAUAAUAAUAGUAUGAUGAAUGCAUACUAUGCUCAAAUAAGAAGUCAAGCUAGGAGAGGAGGAUAUACAGGAGGUGUCCAGGGCAAUUAUAAUGGUUAUUCAGGUGGUAGAAAUGGCAUGUUUAAUGGUAGAUGAAUAUUUUUAAACUCACAUCCAAGAGGUUUUCCUGCUGGAACUGGUCAUUUUGGUAAUCAUGGAAGAAAUCAAAUGAUGAUGGGAAGUAAUAGAUUUGGUUCUUCUGGAAGAGGUUCAUUUGGAAGUAUUGGUUUUUCUGGUACUGGUAAUUUGCCUUCUUUUGAAUCACAAGCAUCCAACAGUGAUGAUUCCAUGAAUACAUGUCAGAUUUGCUUCAAAGCAGGACAUACAGCUGUUGAAUGUUGGCACAAAUUUGAAGAAAAUUACAUACCUCAGCCACCAAGACAAUUUCAGAGAGAAAAAGGUUCAAAGUCUGCUUACAUAGCUAAUUAUGAACCUGCAUACAUGCCUUACUAUUCAACAAAUGAUGAUCCAUGGCCUGUUAAUAGUACUGGAUUACAAAUGUCACAUUCUGGACAUUCUUGUGUAUAUGACUAUUCUGGUAUACCCUAGGCUGGAGCUGCUUCUGCUGCACAUUGUGAAGGACCUGCAGAUGAAGGCUGGUACCUGAACAGUGGUGCCACUCAUCAUCUAACCAACAGCAUGGGAAAUCUGAAUAUCAGAGAUGAGUUUAGAGGUAAUGAUAAGCUCAUUAUUGGUAAUGGUGAAGGUUUAUCAAUAACUCAUAUUGGUGAUUCUUAUUUUUCAUUCAAGAGUUCACAAUCUCAACCUGCAGAUUCACAUAUUGCACUUAAAGAUAUUUUUCUUGUUCCUUCUAUCACAAAGAACCUAAUAAGCAUUUCCAAACUUACCACUGACAAUAACAUUUCUGUUGAAUUUCUUGGAUCAUUUUGUGUUGUGAAGGAUUUCCUGCUGGAACUGGUCAUUUUGGUAAUCAUGGAAGAAAUCAAAUGAUGAUGGGAAGUAAUAGAUUUGGUUCUUCUGGAAGAGGUUCAUUUGGAAGUAUUGGUUUUUCUGGUACUGGUAAUUUGCCUUCUUUUGAAUCACAAGCAUCCAACAGUGAUGAUUCCAUGAAUACAUGUCAGAUUUGCUUCAAAGCAGGACAUACAGCUGUUGAAUGUUGGCACAAAUUUGAAGAAAAUUACAUACCUCAGCUACCAAGACAAUUUCAGAGAGAAAAAGGUUCAAAGUCUGCUUACAUAGCUAAUUAUGAACCUGCAUACAUGCCUUACUAUUCAACAAAUGAUGAUCCAUGGCCUGUUAAUAGUACUGGAUUACAAAUGUCACAUUCUGGACAUUCUUGUGUAUAUGACUAUUCUGGUAUACCCUAGGCUGGAGCUGCUUCUGCUGCACAUUGUGAAGGACCUGCAGAUGAAGGCUGGUACCUGAACAGUGGUGCCACUCAUCAUCUAACCAACAGCAUGGGAAAUCUGAAUAUCAGAGAUGAGUUUAGAGGUAAUGAUAAGCUCAUUAUUGGUAAUGGUGAAGGUUUAUCAAUAACUCAUAUUGGUGAUUCUUAUUUUUCAUUCAAGAGUUCACAAUCUCAACCUGCAGAUUCACAUAUUGCACUUAAAGAUAUUUUUCUUGUUCCUUCUAUCACAAAGAACCUAAUAAGCAUUUCCAAACUUACCACUGACAAUAACAUUUCUGUUGAAUUUCUUGGAUCAUUUUGUGUUGUGAAGGAUUUGCUUAAGGGACAAGUUCUAAUGCAGGGCAUUGCUGAGAAAGGAUUGUAUAAACUGCUGGUCAAACCUAUGUAUUCCACCAAGAAUUUUGAGUCAUCAUCUGUUGUGUCUCAUAGUCAAGCCAAUAAACCUCUGUCAAUGUUAUCAUUCUGUCAUCUUGCUUCUCAUAUGCCAUCUGUAGAGUUCAUAAAUAAUCCAAACAUUUGUUUACAGAAUGGUAUUGAUGUAUGUUCUGAUAAGCCUAAUAAAAUAGCUCUUUUACACAGAAGAUUUGGCCACCCAAAUUCUCAAAGCUUAUUGCAUUUACUCAAACUUCAUCAUGCUGAUAAGUUCUCUAUGAAUAUGGUUAAACAAGCAACACAACAUUUCUAUGAAGUAUGUCAGUUGGGUAAAAUACACAAAUUGCACUUCCCAAUUACGGAAAUCAAAACCAAAUCAGCACUUGAGCUUAUACACACUGAUCUUUGAGGUCCCUCACAAGUUAUUUCAAGAGAAUGCUUUAGAUAUUAUAUUAGCUUUGUUGACGAUUUCACUAGAUAUACUUGGAUUUACCCAUUGAAAUUGAAAUAAGAAGCUUUAGAAGUUUUUAAGCUAUACAAGUUGCAAGUUGAAAACCAGUUCCAAACAACCAUUAAGAUACUGCAAUCUGACUGGGGGGGGGGAGAAUACAGAUCAUUCACUGAAUUUUUAAAUCAGUGUGGCAUUUUAUUUAGGCACUCUUGUCCACAUACUCAUCAUCAGAAUGGCUUAGUUGAGAGAAAGCACAGACAAAUGGUAGAAUUGGGCCUUACAUUGUUAGCUCAAGCUAAGCUUCAUUUGAAUUUUUGGUGGGAUUCUUUCCAUGCUUCAGUUUAUCAUAUCAAUAGGUUACCAACUUCAGCUCUUAAAAUGUUGACACCAUAUGAAAAACUUUUCAAACAUAAAGCUGAUUAUAAGAUGCUGAAAUGUUUUGGCUGUGCUUGCUAUCCAUACUUGAGAGAUUACAAUAAGCAUAAGUUUGAUUAUCACACAAGUAAAUGCAUAUUCAUUGGUUAUAGCCUUGCUCACAAAGGAUAUAAACGCAUGCAUCAUUCUGAUCGUAUAUACAUAGCAAGGCAUGUCAUAUUUGAUGAAAAUGCAUUCCCUUUCUCUUCAGAUCCUAAUUUCAAUUAUGAAAGUAAAAUACAACCAAUAUCCAGCUAUACUUUGUCUCCUCAUCAAGUUUGUCAUUUGUCCACUCUUCCUGUUGUGUCAAAUCCUUGUGAUAGCAGUUUUGAAUCCUGUCCUCCAGCAUGUUCCAACAACACAGAACUGUUCCCACCAGCAGAUAACCUCCAAGCAAAUGAGGCUACACAACUUCAAACACCAAAUCUUAAUCCUGCUCUUGAACCUACUCAUGAUCAAAACUCACCAAACACUUCAAAUUUUACUCCAAUUCUAUUACCAUCUCAAUCUCAAAUAACCUCAAACAGUAUUCAACCUUUACAAAAACAAUCACCCCAUGAUCACAAGAGGAAAAACAUGUAUUUUUAAACCAAAAAUGUAUACUGCAGUGUUAGUUCACAAAGAGCCAGAUUCAGUUUAUGAAGCUUUGCAAGAUACAAACUAGUUUACAGCUAUGAAAAAUGAGUAUGACGCACUAAUCGAAAAUAGAACUUGGUCUUUAGUACCAAGAACAGAAAACCAAAAAAUUGUUGGGAAUAAGUGGGUGUAUAGGAUAAAGUAUAAUACUGAUGGCAGUGUAGCUAAGUAUAAGGCUCGGUUGGUGGCAAAAGGGUUUCAAUAGAUUGAGGGUGUGAAUUAUUUUGAUACUUUUAGUCCAGUGGUAAAGCCAGCAACAGUUAGAGUAGUUCUUAAUUUUGCAGUGAUGAAUCCGUGGAUAGUUAGACAGGUGGAUGUCAACAAUGCAUUCUUAAAUGGUGAAUUGUCAGAAGAGGUGUUUAUGCAGCAACUUGAAGGAUUUGUUGAUAAAAGCAAACCUAACUAUGUUUGCAGAUUACACAAAGCAUUAUAUGGUCUUAAGCAAGGUUUGAAAAGCUCAGAGGAUGUCUUCUGCAAUGGGGUUUCAGAAAUUCCAAAUCUGAUUCUUCUUUAUUCUUAAGAAGAACUAAAUUGUCACUCAUUAUGGUAUUGAUAUAUGUUGAUGACAUAUUAGUUACUGGACCUAACAGUGGAGAAUUGGACAGCUUCAUUCAAUAAUUUAAUACUGUUUUUGCUUUGAAAGACUUAAGAAGGUUGUCUUAUUUCCUUGGUAUAGAAGUGUUGUAUGGUCAGGAUUGCAUUUAUUUGUCUCAGAAGAAGUAUAUAAGAUAUUUGCUUGCUAAAGUAGAUAUGCUUGAUUGUAAAGGAGUGAUAACACCAAUGUGUAGUGGCAAGGACUCAAAGUUACAGAAGAUAGUUAAAGAAGAAUUGGGUUACUAUGUUGAAGAUGCUACUCAUUAUAGAAGCAUUGUAGGUGGUCUCCAGUACCUGAUCUUGACAAGACCAGAAAUUGCUUAUUCUGUUCAUAAGCUGAGCCAAUAUGUAUCUGCACUAAUUAUGCAACAUCUUAUGGCUUGCAAAAGGGUUCUUAAAUAUCUAAAGGAGACACAUGAUUAUGGCUUAAAGUUUGUUAAGGAUGGUGAUAUGAAAAUUACUUCAUUCACUGAUGCAGAUUGGGGAAGUGACUUGGAUGAUAGGAAAUCAAUUGGAGCUUACUGUGUGUAUCUUGGAAAUAAUCUGAUUUCAUAGUCUUCGAAGAAGCAAACAGUAGUCACUAAGUCUUCAGCUGAGAGUGAAUAUAGGGCACUUGCUUUAGCUGUUUCAGAAAUAGCUUGGUUAAAAUCAUUGUUUCUGGAAAUGAGAGUAUGCUGUGUAGAGAGACCAACAAUAUGGUGUGAUAAUAUGAGUGCAACAGAACUAGCAAAGAAUCAUGUAUUCUAUUCAAGAACUAAACACAUUGAGAUUAAUGUUCAUUUUAUUCGAGAUAAAGUGUUAGCUGGUGACCUCAAAAUCUGUUAUGUGCCAAGUGAAGAUCAGAUUGCAGAUAUCCUAACCAAGCCCUUAUCUUCUCCUCAGUUCAAUUACUUAAGGGACAAACUCAAUGUCUUUCCAUGUCCUUUGAGUUUGAGGGGGGCUGUGAAGAUAGCUCAUUAUGCAGAAGUGAAGAAGAAGAAUCAACAUGGUGUUAAGCCUUGUAACAAGAAUGUCAAGUUACCAGCUGUCAUUAGUGCCACAUCAGAAGAUCCAAGUCAGCAGCAGUUACCAGCCUAACUAACUUCACAAUGCACACUCUGUAUCAACUUGCCUAAUUGAUCAUUGAUUCAUUACUGCAAGACUUAGCACAACUCUGACAGUGGUUGGUUUUAUCACUGGACUGAAAGUCUCAAAAUAGUUCACCCUUGCAAUCUGCUGAAAACCCUUUGCCACUAACCUAGCUUUAUACUUAGCUAAACUGCCAUCAGUAUUGUGUUUAACUCUGUAUACCCACUUAUUGCCAACUAUCUUUUGAUCACUUGUUCUUGGAACCAAUGACCAUGUAUUGUUACGAGUUAAAGCAUCAAAUUCAUUUUUCAUAGCUGCAAACCAAUUUGGAUCAUGUAAUGCCUCAUGAACUGUAUCUGGUUUCUUAUGUUCAAGAACUGCUGUGUAUACCUUGGGUUUAAAGAUACCAGCUUUACUCCUGGUAAUCAUUUGGUGUGUGUUUGGUUGAGAUGAGGGUUGUUGAAUGAUUAUUGAUGUUUGUAUAUUGGAUGAAAUAGGUAUUGGUUAAUUGUUAGGUGAAGUGGAUGGAGACGAUGUAGGUUGAAUAGGUAAAAUGUGAGAUUGUAUAGGAUCUUCUGGUAUAGUGUGUUGGGUUGAAGUUGAGUUAACCAAGUGGUCAGAACCACUGCAAUUGGAACUUACAGAGUCAGGAUUAGUCAAGCUGCCAUCAGGAGAAAAAGAAGUUACAGAUAGAGUAGUGAGAUGAUCGACUUGUUGAGGAGUAAGAUGAAUAGGAGAGCAAAAAUUGGAUUUCUGUGACUCGUAAAUAUUUGAGUAAGGAAAUGUAUUUUCAUCAAAAACAUGUCUAGCUAUGUAUACUUUUCCAGAAGGAUGAAGACACUUAUACCCUUUGUGAGAUGGACUAUAUCCAACAAAAAUGCAUUUAUUCGAAUGAUAGUCAAAUUUAUGUCUAUUAUAAUCUCUUAAGUAGGGAUAACAACAGUAACCAAAACAUCUAAGCAUGUUAUAAUCUGGUUUAUGAUUGAACAAUUUCUCAUAGGGUGUAUCAAAAUGAAGAGUGGCAGAGGGUAAUCUAUUAAUGUGAUACACUGCUGUAUGAAAGGUAUCCCACCAAAAUUUAAAAGGUAAGUGAGCUUGAGCUAGUAAGGUGAGUCCUAGUUCAACAACAUGUCUAUACUUUCUUUCAGCUACCCCAUUUUGAUAAUGUGUGUAAGGACAAGGGUGUCUAAAUAGGAUUCCAGAUUGAUUCAAAAAGCUAGUGAAUGGUCUAUAUUCCCCUCCUCAAUCAGAUUGCAACAUCUUAAUGGAGGUAUCAAAUUGUUUUUCAACUUGUUAUUUGAAGAGUUUGAAUACUUCUAAGGCUGCUGACUUAGUUUCAAAGGAAAAAUCCAGGUAUACUUACUAAAGUCAUCUGCAAAGCUGAUAUAGUAUGAAUAACCCUCUUUGGAAGGAUGAGGUGAAGGGCCCUAGAGUUUGUAUGUAUUAGUUCAAGAAUUUUAGUUGUUUUGGUUUCAGUAGUAGAUGUUAGCCUAUAUGGCUAUAAAUAUUGAUUUUGAUGAUAACAAACCACAUGUAUUUAUUAAGCAAAGAUUUAUGAAUUUUGCUUUUAUAAUAAGAAAAUGAUGUUAUGGAAUUAAAGCAUUUUGGACUAAAAUGAAAGUAAUUUCAAAAUCUUUGAUAGUGUUUUAAAUUUCAGAUUUGGACCUAUUUGAAACUAUUUAAAUAUUUUUGGGCCAUUAUAAAAUUUCACAAAGUUUGGGUGAAAUCAUAAUUUUAAAAAGUUUUGGGAUUAACGAAGUAUUACUUAGAAAUUCUGAAAUUGGACCUAUUUGCAAACUUUUAUAACGUUUUGGGCCAUACUAUAGUUUUAUAAAGUUUGGGGGUCAAACUAAAAAUUUGGGAAAAAUUUCACUGUAGCAGGUUAUUGUAGCAAGCGGCUUACCGGAUUUCGUAACCGGCAAGCCAGAUAGGCAAAAUUUAAAAUUUUGCCUUAACGGUAACAUAAAUUCAGCUUACCAAAUUCCAUAAACGGCAAACUGGAUACGCCCAGAAUGUGAGUAAUGGCUAGUUUUUGAGCUCAAACUAUAAGAACUCAAAUCCAACUCAUUUUGAAGCUCUCCCAACAAGCAAAAACAAAAAGCACACGUGAUAUCUUGAGCCUUCAAACUUGCGAAAUACAAAUAUUGAAUCAUUUAUUGUUCUUCAUUUUUGAAUAUCUACUCAUUGAGUGAGUUUCAUUGUAACCUUCAUUUAUUCAUCUCAAUUGUAAGAGUUUGAGUGUGUGAGACACUUGAGUGAAGAGAUUAGGAGAUAAUCUCUUUGUUGUAAAGGUUUAUUGACACCUCGAAGUCAAUUGUAAUCGUUGAAGCCUUGGAAAGGCUUGGAUAGUGAAAUCCUCAAGCUUGGAUCGCUUGGAGGCGUGGACGUAGGCGGAGAUUGCCGAACCAUCUAAAAAUUUGUGUGUUUGUUUCUCUUCUCCAUUACUCUUUAAUUAUUGUGCUUUUCUUGAACUUAUUGCUUUCAAUUUUUAUUAAGACAUUAUAUUGCUUGUUGUGUGGAUUUGUUAGGAUAAUUUUUAAAUUUCCAAUUCACCCCCCCUCUUGGGUUGCACACUUAUAUUUCAUUUGGUAUCAGAGCAAGGUGCUCUUAUUUAGACUUAACUAUCUAGAGCUAAAGAUCAAUGGCAACUAAAAAUGAUUCCACAUUUAGGGAAGGACAGUCCACCACUAGACCACCUUACUUUGAUGGAAAUGAUUACCCAUAUUGGAAAACUAGGAUGAGAAUUUACUUGUAAGCCUUAGAUUAUGAAAUUUGGGAAAUCGUUAAUGAUGGUCCUUUCAUGCCUUUGACUAAAAAUGAAGUCGGAGAAGAUAUUCCAAAACCUUCACGGGAUUGGAAUGAAUUCGAAAAGAGAAAAGCUUUUCUAAAUUCCAAGGCCAUGAAUGCCUUGUUUUGUGCACUAGAUAAGAAAGAGUUUCAAAGAGUGUCUAGCUGCGAAAGUGCUAAUGAGAUUUGGCACAAACUUGAAGUUGUCUAGGAAGGCACAAACCAAAUGAAAGAAUCUAAAAUAAGUAGGUACACUUGACAAUAUGAAUUGUUCCAAAUGGAACAAAAUGAAAAUGUGUACUCUAUGUAUACUAGAUUUACGGACAUAGUGAACACUCUAGGAGCCCUAGGGAAGACUUUUUCAAAUAGCGAAAAAGUCAAGAAAAUCAUUAGGUCACUACCUAAGAAAUGGAGACCAAAAAGGACUGCCAUUGAGGAAGCCAAGGAUUUAAAUGUAUUACCUAUUGAUGAUUUAAUUGGUUCUCUCAUUUCAUAUGAAGAAGAUUUAGCAGCUGAAAAAUGGCAUGAGGAAAAGAAGAAGAACAUUGCUCUCAAGGCUUUAAAACGUGAGAGUGAUGAGGAAAGCGAAAUGGAUGAUGAGGAGCUGGCCAUGUUGGUUAGAAGAUUCAGAAAAUUUUACAAAAAGAAUAAUGAGCAGAGAAAGUUCAGAGGCUACAAGAAUAAGAAUGAGAAGAAUGAGCCAAUCACUGUAAGAAGCCCGGACACAUACGACCGGAAUGUCCUCUUCUCAACAAACUUAAGAAGAAAGCUAUGGUGGCCACAUGAGAUGAUAGCGAUGAGGAAACAAGUGAUGAUGAUGAGCAAUAAGAAAUGACAAAUUUAGCUCUCAUGGCUGUUGGGGAAGAAUCAUGUGAUGAACUUGAUGAGGUAAGUGUUCUUCCUACGUAUGAUGAAUUGCAUGAUGCUUUUAAGGAUUUGUAUGAUGAGCUAAUGAAGAUUGGUAAAAAGAAUGUAUGUCUUAAAAAGAAGAUGAUAGAGCUUAAGAAUGAAAAUGAUUCAUUUAGUACAAAGAUUACAUGCCUAGAAUUAGAAAAUAAAAUAUUGCAUGAUAGUAUUGCAUCAUUUGAGAAUUCUAGCACUUCACAUGAGCACUUAGAGUCACACAUGAAUGACUUGAAAAAAGAGAAUGAAAUGCUUAGAAAGAAGAGCAAUGACCUAAAUGAAAUUGUGCUAAAAUUCACAAAUGGGCAAAAGAUGUUGGACAAUUUGCUAAACUCGCAAAAAUGUGUAUUUGACAAAAGUGGCAUAGGUUAUAAACCGAACUUGAAACAAAAAUUUUACAAGAGUUAUUUUGUGAAGAAUACAUCUAUUAACAAUCAAAUUGUAUGUCAUUUUUGUAAUCAAGAUGGUCAUAUGAAAAAUAGAUGUGUAGUAAAGAGAAAUGCAUAUUAUGGUGUGAAAUGUGUUUGGGUUCCGAAAGGAACCAUUGCUAACUCUCAAGGACCCAAAAAGGUUUAGGUACCUAAAACUUGAGAUUUUCUCUACAGGGCUUGAAGAAGAAGAAGAAGAAGUGGUACUUGGACAGCGGUUGUUCAAGACACAUGACAAGGAAUUAUUCUUGGUUUUCAAGUUUCACUAAGAUCGAAAAUGGUGGAGAUGUAUCGUUUGGAGAUAAUUAAAAAGGAAAAAUCAUUGGGAUUGGAAAUGUCGGUAAUGUAUCCUCUACUCUCAUUGAAAAUGUGUGUUUGGUUGAAAACUUGAAACACAAUUUGCUUAGUAUUAGUCAAUUAUGCGAUAAAGGAUAUAGAGUUAUCUUUGAUGAAUCAAAAUGUGUUAUUGAGAAUGCAUGUGAUGGGAAAGUCUUGUUUGUAGGAAAUAGAUGUGUUAAUGUCUAUACCAUUAAUAUAGAUUGUGCAUCAAUACAUGAUAAAUGUCUCUCCGCAUUGCAUGAUGAUGGCUGGUUGUGGCAUAGAAGAUUAGGUCAUGCAAGCAUGGAUUUGAUUUCAAAAAUCGUGAAAAAUGAUUUAGUUAAAGGUCUUCCAAAAAUCAGUUUUCAAAAAGAUAGAAUUUGUGAAGCAUGCCAAUUUGGAAAACAAAUCAAAACUUCCUUCAAAGCAAGAAUCAUGUCUCUACUUCAAAACCACUUCAAUUGCUUCAUAUAGAUUUAUUUAGACCUUCUAGAUAUGCUAGUUUAAGUGGCAAAUAUUAUGCAUUUGUAAUUGUGGAUGAUUAUUCUAGAUACACAUGGGUAUUGUUCUUAGCUAAUAAGGAUGAUGCCAUUGAUGUAUUUCAAAUUUUCUAUAAAAAGGUUCAAAAUGAAAAAGGUUAUUCUAUUACUUGUAUUAGAAGUGAUCAUGGUGGAGAAUUUGAAAAUCAUGCAUUUGAAAAUUUUUGUAAUGACCUUGGCAUUGAACAUCAAUUUUCAUCACUUAGGACACCACAACAAAAUGGAGUAGUAGAGAGAAAGAAUAGGUCUAUUCAAGAAAUGGCUAGGACCAUGUUGAAUGAAAACUCUUUGCCUAAGUAUUUUUGGGCCGAAGCCGUCAACACCGCUUGUUGUGUUUUAAAUCGGGUGUUGAUUAGACCUAAUCUUAAUAAAACUCCAUAUGAGCUUAGAAAGAUAGAAAACCCAACAUUGGCUAUUUUAAAGUUUUUGGAUGCAAAUGUUUUGUUUUGAACACAAAAGAUAAUCUUGGUAAAUUUGAUCCAAAAUCUGAUGUUGGCAUUUUUCUUGGUUAUUCAAAUUCAAGCAAAGCUUAUAGAGUUUAUAAUAAAAGAACUUUAAUUGUGGAAGAAUCUAUGCAUGUUACAUUUGAUGAGUCUAACCCCUCCUCUACGGAGAAAGUUGUUGUUGAUGAUAAUGCAGAAGAAGAACAACAAGAAGAAGCAUCGAAUAACAACCAAGAAGACGCGCCACAUGGAAUUCAAGAAGAACAUCAUGAAGAAACAAAUGCAGAGCAAAAUGAAGGUACUUCACAAACACUCCCCAAGGAGUGGAGGUAUGUAUCCUCUCACCCUAAGGAUGUAAUUUUAGGGGAUCCCUCGCGAGGUGUUACCACUAGAUCAUCUCUUAGAAACACAUGUGAGCAUGCUGCAUUUAUUUCUCAAAUUGAACCAAAAUCCUUUGCGGAUGCGGAAAAUGAUGAAUCUUGGAUUAUGGCAAUGCAAGAUGAGCUAAAUCAAUUUGAGAGAAACAAUGUGUGGGAGUUAGUUCCUAAUCCGGAACAUCAAUCCAUUAUAGGUACUAAAUGGGUAUUUAGAAACAAAAUGGAUGAAUCCGGUGUGGUUGUAAGAAAUAAAGCUAGAUUAGUGGCUCAAGGUUACAACCAAGAAGAAUGAAUUGAUUUUGAUGAAACUUUUGCACCUGUAGCAAGGUUAGAAUCCAUUAGGAUGUUGUUAGCAUAUGCAUGUCAUAAGGAUUUUAUUUUAUAUCAAAUGGAUGUCAAGAGUGCUUUCUUAAAUGGAUAUAUUAUGGAGGAAGUUUAUGUAAAACAACCUCCUGGUUUUGAAAAUAAAAAAUUUCCAGAUCAUGUGUAUAAGUUAUCCAAGGCUUUGUAUGGUUUAAAACAAGCACCUAGAGCUUGGUAUGAGAGGCUUAAAAAUUUCUUGUUGGAUAACGAUUUUUCAAUGGGAAAAGCGGACACAACUCUUUUUGUUAAGCAUAAGAACCAAGACAUACUUAUUGUUCAAUUUUAUGUUGAUGAUAUUAUUUUUGGUUCUACUAAUGAGUUGUUGUGUAAAGAUUUUUCAUCAUGUAUGAGCCAAGAGUUUGAGAUGAGUAUGAUGGGAGAGUUAAAGUACUUCCUUGGACUUUAAAUCAAACAAAACGAGGAAGGAAUUCAUAAACCAAGCCAAGUACGUGAAAUAUCUACUCAAAAGAUUUGGCUAUGAUAAUGGAACGGAAAAAAGCACUCCUAUGAGUACUACCAUCAAGCUGGACAAAUAUGAGAAAGGUAAGGAAGUUGAUAUCAAGACAUAUCGAGGUAUGAUCGGAUCCUUACUUUACUUGACUGCUAGUAGGCCUGAUAUUAUGUUUAGUGUUUGCUUGUGUGCUAGAUUUCAAUCUUGUCCUAAAGAGUUUCACAUGCUUGCUGUCAAACGCAUUUUUUGAUAUUUAAUUGGCACUAUUAAUCUUGGCCUUUGGUAUCCUAGAGGAACUCAUAUUGAUUUAACUUGUUAUUCGGAUGCCGAUUUUGCUGGGUAUAAGGUUGAUAGAAAAAGUACUAGUGGAACAUGUCACUUCCUAGGCCAUUCUCUUGUCUCUUGGUUUAGUAAGAAACAAAACUCGGUUGCGCUUUCAACCACUGAGGCAGAAUAUAUUACCGCAGGUAGUUGUUGUGCACAAAUUCUUUGGAUGAAACAAACCCUUAGAGACUAUGGUAUUAAGCUUGAUCAAAUACCUAUCUUAUGUGACAAUACUAGUGCUAUAAAUCUUUCCAAGAAUCCCAUUCAACAUUCUAGGACUAAGCAUAUAGAAAUUAGACACCAUUUCCUUAGAGAUCAUGUUCAAAAAGGAGAUGUCGUAAUUAAAUUUGUUUCCACUGAAAAUCAACUUGCAGAUAUCUUUACAAAACCUCUUAGCGAAGAGCAUUUUAUAAAGAUAAGACAUGAGCUUGGAAUGAUGAAUGUUGAAUCUUAAUUCAUGUUUUACUACAUGACUUGAUAUGUUUGUUAUCAUAUUAAUUUAUGCUUCAUUAAUUAGAUAGCUUGAUAUGCUUGUGAAUUUAUGAUUUUAUGAUUUUGUGUUUCAUGCAUUAAAUGACUUUUUGAAAAGUUUUAAAUCUCAAAAUGAUUUAAAAUUAAUCAAUUUUUAAGGCUGGAAAUAAAAUGGUGUGUGUAGUACAAGUAUAAGAGCUAGCAAAUAUUCCCUUUCCAUUCAUCAGGAAAAAUAUUUUUUUUUUAUUGAUUUCUCUCGGGACAAAUUCUGGAUAACCGGAUUUUCAAUCCGCAAAAUCGGAUUUGCUAAGCCACCUCUCUGCCUCAUAACCGGUCUACGGGUUCUUUAAUCCGGAAAACCGAAUUUGGAAGGGAACUCACUGCCUCACAACCGGUCUACCGGUUAGCAAAAUCGGAAAGCCGAAUUUACAUGUAUGCUUGCUGGAACAAAACCGGAUUUUCGGUUCAAGACAAUCCGAAAAGCCGGAUUUUUGGAAGUUCUCAAAACCGGCCAGCCGGUUAAGAAAACUGGCAAGCCGAAUUCCCUCAUGUUGCUCUCGGGUUCAUAUCCGGUCAACCGGAUUUCAAAUCCGGCAGAACGUUUUUGCUUGUUUGGUUUCUAUCCAAUAACCGGCUUGCCGGUUAGGAAAUCCGACAAGCCAGAUUCGUGAGCCUUUUGUGCUGUUCAUCCUCUUCCUCAUGCAUUCAGUAAUCCGACUCUUCCUCUCUCUAAAAAUCGUUUGCUUCUCUCUCAUUUUUCAUUCCAAAAUCCACCAUUUCUACUCGAUUUUGAUGCAAAUCAAUCCAUAAAUCUUGAUCCCUAUCCGUUCUUAUACCUAAAAUCACACUCAAAACUCAUUUUCAACCUCCAAAUCCCUAGAUCCGAAUUUCAACCUAGGUUUUGGGCCUAUUUUUCUCUCUCUAGAUUUCUCACUCUCAAGCUGUUUUUGAUCCAAUUUGUUUCUCCAAAUCACUUUCAAUCUUCAUCAUCUUCAUUCUCUUUGGUGUUUUUAUCUUCAAAUCCAUCAAAAUCAAAAUGUCAAGCUCUCGGCCGGUUCGAAGAAAAGGCAAAGAACCGGUUCAACCAACCACCCGGCCACGGGAAGCAAGGGGCACCUCAAAUCAAUCCACUUUUGAGUCCAUUCAUUUUCAGAACAAGCAACAAUUGAUCAAACAGUUUCAACAAAACUUUCGGACUCGUGAGGUACUCAACACUUUCUUUGUUUUACCGGAUGUUAUGCAUACUCUCAAGAUUAGUUAUAGAAAUAUAUUUCAAUUGUUGGGAGAUGUUGGUUGGAUUGAUGCAUUGUUGAUUGAGGAGAAUGUGUAUCCCGACUUGGUGAAAGUAUUUUACUCGAAUAUGGAUUGUUCCGCGGAGAAAGAGAAUCGAGUAAUCACCACAGUUGGAGGAGUUUUGAUUGAAUUUGAUGAUUCGGAGUUGAACUCCAUCCUAGGAUCUUUCGAUGAUGGCCUGGACAUUUUUUCUCUUAGGAAACCUCCUGAUAUUGAUGACUAUGUUCAUGUUGAUGCCAUUCGUAAUAUUUGUCGGCGUAGUGAUCUUUCUAUUGAAGACUGUACCAUUCAUUUCCGUACUCAGUGUCUUUGUCUUCAAACUCAUAUUUUGCCUCGUAUCAUCCAGUCCAUUGUACUUCCUAGAUCAGGACAUUUGAAUGAGGUUUCUCACAUGGAUGUCGCCAUGAUUGACUGUAUUCUUAGAGGUCGCCCGGUUAACUUGGGCUAUUCCAUCAUCCGCACCAUGUUGAGCAUUCCUGCCUUGAUUACCCGCUCUCUUCCUUAUGGUCACUUCAUUACCCAAAUUCUUAAAUUCUUUGAAGUGCCGAUUCUAGAACCAUCUUGUAGGCCGUCCAAGGGUAUCGGGGAUGAGGUUAUUAUUGGGUUAGGCUUUGAGUAAAAGGAUGGCACUUGGGUCAAAUACAACGAUAACAAGUUUACCUUUCUAGCCCCAAGUGAUGAUCAGCAACUUAAUGCUGUGAUUCCAGCUGAUCAGCUUCCAGUUUUCUCACUCUCAUUUCGAGGGCAGCGUAGACGCCGAGUUUCUUCCACGGUUGCUUCAGCUCCUAGUGCAUCUACAUCCGCUUCAUCACCUCCACAUCCUCCUACCUCUGAAGAGGUCACUCUUCAGCAGAUUAUGGAUGAAGUGCAGACACUCUCUAUGCGGCAGACUGAGUUUCAGCAACAGCAGUAGCAGCAGCUUAUUCAUGGACAGUGCCUCAUCUCCGAGCACUUCGGCAUUCCAUAUCCAUUUCCACCUCCAUCACCUCCAUCCUCACCACCUGAGUAGUAUCUUAUGCUUGUACUUGGACACAUCUACAUUUCAUUUACUGCAUUGUGUGUUCGUUUAUUUUCGAAUCUAUGGAUGGUUAUUAUGCUUUUCGGUUUAUGUCUUUGUUUUGGAUGAUAUGGAUUUGUUGUGACUAUUUAUGUUGGAUGUUAUGGAUUUGUUUUGAUUGAUCAUUAUGGAUUAUAUGGAUUUUCUUAUGCUUAUGGAUAUUUUUUUUUACUAAUGUGCUUAUGUUGCGAUUUUGAUGAUUGAUAGGGGGAGUCUUUAUUCUUUUUUAUGAUGAAGGAGGAGAAUGAUUUAAUAUGUGUUAUGAAAAUAUGCAUGUAUCUAGGGGGAGCAUGUAUGCAAGGGGAGUUUUUGUUAAAUAAUUUUCAAAUCAUUUUUUAACUUGCAUUGAUUAAGGGGGAGCUUUUCAUAACUAGAUUAAAUUUGAAUGUGUUUUGUCAUCAUCAAAAAGGGGGAGAUUGUUAGCCUAUAUGGCUAUAAAUAUUGAUUUUGAUAAUAACAAACCACAUGUAUUUAUUAAGCAAAGAUUUAUUAAUUGUGCUUUUAUAAUAAGAAAAUGAUGUUAUGGAAUUAAAGCAUUUUGGACUAAAAUGAAAGUAAUUUCAAAAUCUUUGAUAGUGUUUUAAAUUUCGGAUUUAGACCUAUUUGAAACUAUUAAAAUGUUUUUGGGCCAUUCUAAAAUUUCACAAAGUUUGGGCGAAAUCAUAAUUUCAAAAAUUUUUGGGAUAAACGAAGCAUUACUUAGAAAUUCUGAAAUUGGACUUAUUUGCAAACUUUUAUAACGUUUUGGACCAUACUAUAGUUUUAUAAAGUUUGGGGGUCAAACUGAAAAUUUGGGAAAAUUUUCACUGUAGCAGGUUACUGUAGCAAGCGGCUUACCGGAUAUAAAAACUGAAAAACCGAAUACGGGGCAGUAAGCAUCCAGAACGCAAACGACUUACCAGAUUUCGUAACCGGCAAGCCGGAUAGGCAAAAUUCAAAAUUUUGCCUUAACGGUAACAUAAAUUCGGCUUAUCGGAUUCGAUAAACGGCAAACCGGAUAUGCCCAAAAUGUGAGUAACGACUAGUUUUUGAGCUCAAACUAUAAGAAUUCAAAUCCAACUCAUUUUGAAGCUCUCCCAACAAGCAAAAACAAAAAGCACACGUGAUAUCUUGAGCCUUCAAACUUGCGAAAUACAAAUAUUGAAUCAUUUCUUGUUCUUUAUUUUUGAAUAUCUACUCAUUAAGUGAGUUUCAUUGUAACCUUCAUUUAUUCAUCUCAAUUGUAAGAGUUUGAGUGUGUGAGACACUUGAGUGAAGAGAUUAGGAGAUAAUCUCUUUGUUGUAAAGGUUUAUUGACACCUCGAAGUCAAUUGUAAUCGUUGAAGCCUUGGAAAGGCUUGGAUAGUGAAAUCCUCAAGCUUGGAUCGCUUGGAGGUGUGGACGUAGGCGAGGAUUGCCGAACCACGUAAAAAUUCAUGUGUUUGUUUCUCUUCUCCCUUACUCUUUAAUUAUUGUGCUUUUCUUGAACUUAUUGCUUUCAAUUUUUAUUAAGACAUUAGAUUGCUUGUUGUGUGGAUUUGCUAGGAUAAUUUUUAAAUUUCCAAUUCACCCCCCUUCCUGGGUUGCACACUUAUAUUUGAGCAAGAAAAUGCAAUCUAUGUGAUUUUCUCAUUUGAGAUUCUUCAUAAAUGAUUGCAAGUGCUUGCUGUUUUACAUUGUGAGAAAUAUUAUUAGACUUGACUUGUUUGAGCAAAUGCAUUAGUGUAUGAAAAUUGGGAUGGCCAAAUCGUUUAUGCAAAAGAAGAAUUUUAUUCAUUGCUGAAUUGCAUGAAUCAACAACAAUAUGAUGACAGAUCUUAUUAUCUAAAACUUUGCUCUAGACAAUGGAUUGACAAUUAAAACUAGAAUGACAAACAAAUAACAUUGACAAAGGCCUAUUAGAAAUAGUUUGACAUAGAAAAGAAGAAGGAAGUGUUUGUGCAGAUGGCUUUAAAAGCAGCUUGUAUAAUCCUUUCUCAGCAAGACCUUGCAGAAGAACUUGCCCCCCUCAGUGUAUCCUUCACAUAACAAACAUCACCAGAAAAUUCAACUAUCAAGUUAUUAUCAGUGGUGAGUUUGGACAUGCUUAGCAUGUUUUUAGUAAUUGAAGGAACUAGUAGGAUAUCUUUGAGUGCUAUUUGUGUAUGAAUAGAUUUGGCAUUUGAAUGUGAGUGUUUAUAACAAAGGAAAGCAUCACCAAUAUGAGUAAUAACCAAACCUUGACUAUUGCCAAUGAUGAGCUGAUCUGACCCUUUGAACUCCUCUCUGACAUGCAUGUUAGACAUGUUGUUGGUCAAGGGAUAAGUGGCACCACUAUCGAGAUACCAUCCAUCAUCAGCUAGUCCUUCAAAAUUAGCAACAUAUGCAGCCCCAGGUGUUGUGAAAUCUUCUGAUGCAUAAGGUGAGAUGGAGUUUGGAGAGUAAUACAUUGGUUGUUGACAGUUCAUAUCAAAAGAUUCUUCAAAUGGACAUGUAGAAAUUUGUGGUUCAAAAGCAGUCAAGUAGGCAGACUUAGUAGCUCUACCUCUACCAAAAGGUUUUGGUGAAGGUACAAAAUCAUCUCCAUAUCUAUGCCAACAAGCAUCAGCAGUAUGCCCUUGCUUGUGAUAAAUUUGACAUACAGGUAGUGUGCCGUCAGAAUUUCCAGUAUGCAUAGAAGGAUUUGCAGGCAUUGAUCUGUGAGUAUGCAUUGGUUGUCCUCUUCCAUAACUACUGAAAUUACUAUUUCCUGAAGGAAAACCUCUAGGAUAAUGUUGAAAGAACAUGCCUCUACCAAAAUUUGGUCUUCUACCACCACCAAAAUUACUAUUAACACCACGAUAUCCACCUCUAUAUGAACCUUUCAUCAUAAUCCAUUUUUUUUGCAGUGAUAAUAGAUGCUAAAUCCAAAUAACUAGAUCCUAAGCCAUCCAGACUCAUUAAUAGAUCCUUUCCAGUUAUGGAGUCACCAGCACAUGCAAGUUUGUCAGCAAGCAUUUUCAUUUUGCCACAGUAUUCUUCAAUAGACAUUGAAUCUUUUCUUAAAAUAUUCAUCUCAUAUCUAAGUUGCAUCACUCUAGCCUCGAAUUGCACUCCAAAUUGCUUUUCAAUAGAGGUCCAAACAGCAAACGAAGUGUCGCAACCUAAAACAGAACUUAAAAUACCUCACUAAUUGUAGAUAACAGCCAUCCAAGAAGGAUCUGAUCUUGAGCACGCCGGUUGAUCUGAUGUUGAAGCUGGAUCAGGAAGAUACUAAUCUGGUACAACUCGAUUUCCAAAAAUAUAAUGUUCAAGUCGAUUGCCUCUUAUGGAUGUGAGAACUUGUUUGCGCCAUAGCAAAUAAUUGGAUCGAUCAUGCUUUACAGGAGUAAUGAAUGUGAAUGAAACAUUUAAAGGUUGAUUUUGACUAAGAAAAUUUGGAUUUGAGUGAGUUGUACUUGAGUUCGCCAUGAUUAUUGCUCUAAUACCAUAAAGGAAAUAUGAAACGAAGUGUUUGGCUUAAAAGAAAAUAACAGAGAAAAUAAUCUUCUAAUUUUCCAGAUCUUUUAUUUCUUAUUAAGAAUGAUUACAUCACUUCUAUUUAUACUAAUUAAUCAAUAACUAACUAAGAAUUAAAUCCAGCUAAUCAUUCGUUCAGUAUACAUUGUGAGUAAAAACAAACUUUAACUAACUGUGCUGAGCUGGCAGUCUGGACUGUUGCGUUUCUUAACAGCUUCUGAUAGUUUGACUUGAGUUGACCCAAGCUAUGUUUUCUCAUGCUCUGCAUAAUGUGCUUCCUUAACAAGUUGAGAUUAUUUUCAGAGGAAAAGUAUGUAAUUUCACUGAAAUAUUUUACUUUAUUUUCCAAUAUUGACUGCUAGAAACUGAGAAGAAUGCUAAAUCGCCGAAAAUUUUACGACUAUAAGCAUUUUUUCUAUUGACUGGCAGAUCUAAAGGGGCCUAAAUGAUAUGAGAUACGUUAAGCUUAAUUUACUCUAAGAGAAUUGCUACGACAUCUUGAUUUGUCAUCAUGAGUUUAUUUUGUGAGAUGUGAAAUACAAAGCUCAGUUAGGAAUUGGGUUAUAUUUGUUGACCAUUUCUCACAUCGGUUGUGUACGGCUGGUUAAUAUGCUGUCAUGGCAAGUUAUUUUAAAAAGUAUUAAGUUUUGCAGCUUUAUCUGUUUAUAUUCAGAUGUAUCUCUAUAUGCUUGAAUGUUGUCUUCCAAUUAAUAUCACUAGUAUUCUUUUUUUUUUUUAAAAAAAUUUGAAUUUAAUCUGUACUGUUUGCCCUAUGCUGAAUUGCUGAUGUCUUCAUAUUUUAAUGACAGGAAGAAGGAAACCACGUACCGAUUAAAUUCAACAUUCUAGUAUAAUCUCUGGAAGCAUUUAAUAAAUGGGUGAGUUUUUUGCAAGGAGGUUCCCUUCUGUAUGUAUUUUGUAGGGCCAUGCAAUUAAGAGGUUUGAUGUGUUGGGAAAAUAUGCUUUUUAAAAGCAUAUGUAUUUAUUUAAUUGUAAUAAAAAAAUUUUCUGAUUAAUAAAAUUAAUGAGGUAUUUUAUUCAAAUAUCUUAAUUGCAUUAAUAUUUUGAUCAAAGUCCAUUUAAUCAUAUUAUAUGUAUUUAUGUGAUCACCAUGUGGAUUCACAAAAGACAUAAAUACAAGUUAUCUUAUGAUUAAAUAAAUUUAGUUCGCAGUUGAUAAAUAAAUUUGGGCACUUUGUUUAGGUAUAUACUGUAAUGAAUUCAUUAAAUGAUUUAUCUUAAUCAUGUAUGAAUUUAUUGAUAUAGUACGACUACAUUGAACAAGAUCACAUAUGAGAUUUAAUUAACUUUGUAAUAACUAUUAGACUUGUUAAAUCUCAUAGGCAUUGAUUUUACUGUAAUCUUAAUAUUGAGUUAAUUAUAAUUUCAUGAUUGUAAUUGAUAUUCCAGUUGAGUUACCAAUGGGCACGACACAUACUUGUGGUCAAGAUUACCCGGUAUCUUGGUGAGAGCAAUUAUGAGUAUUGGAGUUAUGGAUUAACAAUAUAGAAUUUGUACAACACAUCUCUUGAUCGGUUUUUGGCACUUGAUCAUAGAAUUCUCUGGCCAGAGUGUGUCAAACAUAUUUAGUAUGUUGAAAAUGAUCAUUAGAGAAAACCAGUAAGUAUCAAGGAACAAGAUGUAAUUAAAUUGAUUGGACAGUUGAGAUAUCGAUUUAAUUAAUGAUGUGGUACAAAGGAUUGUGCAGUAAAGAAAUCAAUGUGGCUUGGGAUGAAUUAUUAUUCGAGCAUACAAUUAUGGAGGUCAAUUCCAAUAUUUUAGUGGAGUAGAUUUAGAAUUAAAUAAUUAGGCUAGUUUAAUUACAGGCCUAAUUGUUAUAGCCACUAUUGUAUGUUCCCAAAUAAUCCUCGAGUUAGCUCAUUUAAUUGACUGCACCACUACUGGAUUAAUAAGCAAGAUAACUAGUUAUUUGGGUCAAAAGCCUAAAUAUAUCAUUUAGUGGGAGGCUCCAUUUAAUUAGCUUGUGUGUAAGGGGCCUUAUGUUAUUUUACAAGGUGGGUCCAGGCUUAUUUUCUCUAAAAGAAAGAGAGAGCAGCCACUUUUUACAGAUCAGAGAAAAAGAUUUUUCUCUCGAUUGUUGAAAGAAAAAUUUUCUCAUGCUAGUUGCUUUGGUAGUAAUAAAGGCGCCCACACGUCAAGUGCAGAUCAAACCUGAGUUAUAACCUAGAAGAUCAUUGGUGAUAGUUCGUGAUCUAACAAGCGUGGUGGUGACGGAUCGUGAUCUAACAGGCGUGGUGGUGACGGAUCGUGAUCUAGGAGCCUAAAUCACUUCAGCGGAAAAAAUUAAAUCGGAUUUUCAAGGUACGAUUUCUAGAUUACAAAUUCUUAUAUAUUAUAUGAGAGCGAUCUUAAAAAGGUUUUAUAAAAAUUGAAAAAAUUAAUUUUUCUCCAACAUGAUGAUCAUAAUUCACUGAUUGACUGUCCUUCAAAAUUUUCAAACCCGAGUUAUACAUUUCAUUAUCUUAAACUUGAACAUAUGAGAUUGCAUUGGUUUUGCAGCUACUUCCAAGUUUGUUUCUGAGCACCUUUGAUCACAUUUUAUGUAUAAAUUAAUGAUUCUAAACUUGCAGUGGAGCUUUGCCAAGGGAACCAAUGCCUUCUGGUAUUACUGCAAGGCUUCCAACCUUGGAGGACCUUGAGGCCUAUGCCAUUGGACAAUGGGAGGUGUGAACUUUACAUGUUCUGUUCUUUCAUGUUUAAGGAUUUUUCAUGCCAAUCAUGCUGACCUCAAGGAGAUGCGAUGACAUAAUUAAUUACAAUUGGUGUAUCAAUUAAGCUAUUAUCUUAAAUCUUCCAAUUCUAUUAAUCCAGUGUUUCUUGUUGCAACUUAUUAGUUCAGCCCAAGCUGAAAGGCCGACAAAUUUCAACUCUUCCACGAUGAAGGUUUUCCAGCGUGGUCUUUUGAUUCAAAGGUAGUAUUUUCUGUCACAUUUGUAAUCGUCAGUUUCUUGAUGCAAACAGUUGAGAAUCCUGGUUCUUGCAUUUGGUAUCAUGUUAUUUAUGUGCCUUAUUUGCAGGGAUAAAGAAGCCCCAAGGUUAACAGAUAGUGGUUUUCAAUUUUUGGAAUGUGUGUUAAUCACAAGAUUUUGGAUUCCCUCUUGUUUGAGCUAGUGGAACUUAUUUUUCAUAUGUUUAAAUUUGCAGCUGAUGGAUACUAAUGCACAGCUCUAGUACAUCGUUAGAGAAUAUAUCUCCAAUUCCCAGGUGUGGCUUCUGAUAUUAUUUUCAGUUGUUUCUCUGCAUCAAAAUUUCUGCGUGUCCCUGUCUUUGAUUCACUGGUAUAUUCUCUCUUUGUAAAAACUGAACUGAGUGAAGUAUUCAAAGGGCAAAAUAACGAAUUAACUUAUCUUUAAAUCUCAUUAUGUUACCCAAUUGCUCAUUUUAGAACUUUGAUUUUUAUAUUAUGCACAUGUUUAUGCAAUUAAAGAGUUCAUAUUUAGAUGUAUGUAUAUCUUUUUACUUUUAGAAUAUUAAUGCCUUCUUUGAUUUUUAUUCUAUUCCUCAAUAGAUUUGUAUAAUUACUGCUAACAUAAACUAGAACUAAAAGAUUUUCUUCUUUGGUAUUUCAUUGGACUAUUUAAUAGAGAUAAAAGUUCACUAGUGAUCUAAUUAUAUGUGGGAUAGCACGACUCUAUGCUUGCUUAUGGUCUACAAUACCAAUAAUAUAUCAUAUAGCUUUUCUCAUUUUCUUGCAGGAACGAGGCAUAAAUGAAGCAGAUCUGAUUUCUUUUCUUCUGGAGCUUAGUUUCCAUGUCACUGGGGAGGUAGCACAUAUACGUUAUAUAGCUAAACACAUUAUUAUUCAGUUAUUCCAUUUAUUAUUCAAGAAGUAUCAACUUCCAAACCUUAUAGUUGGAGCAAUAACGAAAGAAAGUUUGUAUAAUGCUUUUGAGAAUGGCAUUACAGCUGAGCAUGUGAGUUUGGUAUUUAGUUGAUCUGGUGAUCUGUUUUUCCAUAAAAAAAUGUCCGAUGUGGUCAAUUACCUGCAUAUAUGCAAGUAACUUCUGACAUUCUUAAUAAUUUGCCCCUUUACACCUCUUUUUGGGUCCCAGCCAUCCUCAUCUCAACAUACUUUUACAUCAACCUAGAUUAUUAUUAUUAUUAUUUUUUGGGUGGAGAAGGUUUUUUGCGAGCUUACAUACUGUUUCUGAUAUUCUUGUAGCCGAAAUAGUUUUUUCUUUCAAAGUCGCCUUUUUUUUUUCAAUUACUUUUGCAGUCAUUCUGACUCCUCUAACUCCAUGAUCGUUUGUUUUGCAGAUAAUUAGUUUUCUUCAGAAAAAUGCACAUCCUCGGGUUGCUGACAGAAUACCGUCUGUACCAGAAAAUGUUUGUGAUCAGGUCAUAAUUCUUUCCUGCGUUCAGAUGUAUUGCACAUAUCAUUGCUUCCUGACCUUCCAUAGCAAAAUUCUCGAUAUUUUCUACAUAGUACAUAUCAAUUAAUAAAGAUGAUUAUUUAUAUUCUAAUAUUUCAAAUUCUGAUGUUUCUUUGAUAGAUAAGAUUGUGGGAAUCCGAUUUGAAUAGGGUUGAAAUGACCCCUGCGCAUUAUUAUGACGAGUUUCCCCUGAGGGUCAUCUGCGCAUUUCAAUUGGAUUGAUUUCUCAUCUCACAUCUUUCAGGGAUUACAUUUUAAAGUUACGUCAUAAAUCUUGUAGGAUGUCUUUGAGGCUGCUUGUGAUUAUGCAAGAGAUCGAAGUGGUUUGCUCUGGGAGGAUUCAAAGAAAAUGUGUCUAGUUGUUAAUGCAGAAAUUCAUAUGCACAUGAGAGAGUUCCUUCGGGGUCAAAACAAGUAGAAUGAUAUGUUCUCUUGGCCAUGCAGAACUUACUGAACAAAAAGGAUGACAAGCCAUGUGUCGCUUGGGAUUGUUGCAUGGUAGGGUUGUCAUAAUUUGGGUUUUUCUUGCUCCGUUCGUAUCUGCAUUAAAUUUUGAUGGCAAGUUUUUUGUAAAAACUUGUAUCAAUUUAAUCAAAAUUCAAUUUUGUAAGUCCGCCUUUAUUUAUUUAUUUAUUUAUUUGACUUGCACAGCUUUGUCGAGUGCCCAUUUUGUGGCUUGUGGACAAACUGACAAGUGGAUCUAAUUAUGAACAUUUGCUGUUUGCAUUCGAAAAUGUAGCGCAAUAAUUUUUAGUAAAAGAUAGAAAUGAAUGUAAAAACGUUGCUGUCCUUAUCAUAACUCUUCAUUGUAUUAAAGUAUUAUAAUAUUAUAUUUGUCAAUUGCACCUCAUAGUAUUAUAUUGUGGUCAACACAAAAUCUUAUGUGAUAGAAUCUGCAUAAACUAAAUCUGAGGGGACGCGGGUUUUAUAACUAUUUUGAGACAAAAGAUUAUUUUUUGCCUUUCGUUCUCACCCUCAUUCUUAGAUUGGCUCAAGCAGUUCUUUCCGUCAUAAACUAAAUCUCAUGUGUUAUUUAUAAUUAUGUUAAUUAUUGUUGUUGUUAUUAUUGUUGUUUAUUAAUAAUAAUAAUAAUAUUAUUAUUAUUAUUAUGGCAUUAUUAAAAUAAUAAUAAUAAUUAUUAUUAUUAUUACCAAAUGAUAAUAAUUAUUAUUAUUAUUACCAAAUGAUAAUAAUUAACGAAGGGUAUUUUAAUAAAUUGAAAUAAUUCAUUCAAAUUUAAUGACAAAGUAAACACAAUAAUAGAAAUGAAGUUCAUUUCAAUUCCGAUUCCUACUAUUCAAGUAAAUAAUUUAUUUUGAUUCUUAUUCGUGAUUCUCAUCCCAACCCAAUCCUGAUUCUAGAGAUUAAUAAACGCACCAUAAAUUUUUUGGUGAAUGAAAUGGGGAAUGAAGGUAAGAUUUUUAAUGGGGUGGAGAAGGGGGCAGGUCUCUCUACCCCCACCACACCCCGCCUCACCUCACCGCCAUUCCUAGUGUUAAAUGUCUAAAUUACUCUUAUGAUAUCGUUGAUGCUCAUCAUUAUUAUCCGCACCUUAAAGUUGAAGCUAGGGAUAAUUGGUGCAAGUAAUUUUUUGAAUGGAGCUUGUUCACCUUAAAUUUGAAUGAUUUGGCUUGUUACUUUGUUACAAGUGGCUUUGCUUUUGAUAUAUCUAAAGACUUAUAAGGAAUUGAAGUAGUUGAGUAAUUUCUCAAUUAAGAGUAUGAUGGUUUCUUCAACCGCCAAGUUUCGACUUUCUUUUUCCGUCUUACUCUUCAAGAAUAAGCAGUCACCUGUUUCCUUGUUCAUUUCCAAUUAUACAUUUUUUAUUAAAAAUUAACUUUGGAAUUUUCAGGUUGAUUUGGUUUCUCAUAUCGCGGACAAAGAGUACGUUUACUUUUUUUUUUUAAUUGUUCGCUUUUGAUUGCGUUGUCAAGACUUAUUAUUAUAAUUACCAAGUAUUGGAAGCUAAAAUGCGUGCAAGUCGGAAAUUUUGCUGCCGAAAAUCAGUGUAAAUUAAAAGACUUUGAUGAGCAACUAGUGAGUGCACGUGAGUAAACCUUGUAAAUUGACUGGUGCUAAUCAUGACUUAAGGGCAAUUGUAAUUUGUAACCCCAAAUGCAGCAUGUUAUGUGGACGAAUUGAGGAAAGAAGCAUGAAAUAUUGGGUAAUGUUUUUAAUUCUUACUUGGUAUAUACUACUGAUUAAUCAAACAGUCAUCAAAGUAUAAGUACCUUAAAGAAUAAACAACAUAGAAGUAGCAUUUUGCCUUUCCCUUAUGAGUGGAAUGGAUAGGUCAAAACCCUAGUGAGAUUUUCCAUCCUGAUGACCAAUGAUUUCCAAUGCUUUUGUUUGUGGGGAUUUUUAUUUUCUUGGCUCAAUUGCUUAUUGCGUUAAUUUUUCCAAUUAAAUCAAUUUUAAAGAUAAAAGUUUAUUUGGGUAGUUACUUUUAAACCCCACCGAAAAAACUUGAACUCCAUGGUUGUCCUUUAUGAGAUGGUAGCUAGCAGGGAGAGUUUAGAAAACAGAAGAAAUUCCAUAGAUAUGAUGAAGCUCAUAGGUUCACACCACGAGGUUUUAACAUUCCAGAAUGUAGCCAGCGACAGAUGGCUCAAAUUCUUAUGCUUGAUUUCCAAUUUGACUGUCUUGAUACCAGGCUGAGAAUCGGUACCAUGCAGACACUGAUCAUGAGACCUUCAAGUUACUUCAGGUUACUCAUCUUUUUCUUUCAUGGUCUGUCUCCUUUUGUGUCUUUUUACUGGGAAAGUUACUUAAUACCGCUUUAUUGAUUUUCUUCUCAAAUUGAUAUAAUGAACGAGAGCAUGAUUAUAAAGGCAAUCAAGAAUACAUGUUUUUAAGGUACUUCAUUCCUUCGUUCCAUAUUAUAUUCUAUAUAUUAGCCAGGUCAUUCAAGACGUUUUAAAUAAAACAGAGUAUGAAAAAGUAGGAGAGGGAGCCCGACUUUAGGCUUCUAUAUGUAUAUUCUCCUUGCACUUCCAGGUGUUGACAAAGACUAUAAUUUUAUUGUUUUGCUUAUCUAAAACAGGAAGUCUAUAGUUUUAAGUCUCUUGGGAUUUGAUGCAUUCUUGUACUUUCUUCUCUUUCAAACUUGGUGCAUUAUGCUCGGUUUGUCAGUGACAGAUGACUUAUACAUCUUAUACCUUUUUGUAUUUCCUUUCAGCUUACAAAGGUGAAAGCCUAUUUACGUUUGCAAGAGACGUGACUCUCAAAUCAGCAAAAGCUAUGAUGCAACCUCCAAUUCCAAAAGACCUAGAUCCAUGGGGAUUAAGGCUUUUAAGGGCAUCGUGGACAAAGAGUACGUGUACUUAUAUUAUAAUUUUUUUCUUCUAAAUUUUCAUUUUUUACUGUUGUGACGAAAAAGGUCACGGCUGCUUGAACUGUCUGUUAGAAGCUUGUUGGAAGAAGCCUAGGCAGUGACCUUCAAUUGGCAAUGUUCCUCUUGUUACUUUUCAAAUUGUCGUGUCUUUACAAGAAUUUGAAAUACAAGUAUGCAACCCAAGAGGGGGGGUGAAUUGGGAUUCUAAAAAUUAUUCAAUUUAUAAAGAAAAACUUAAUGCAAAUAUAAUCCAAAUUCAAAGCAAUAACAAUUAAGUUGAUCACAAUAUAAAAAGAUAAGGGAAUAGGGAUUCAAACACAGAGAUUUUUACGUGGUUCGGCCAACCUCGCCUACGUCCACGCCUCCAAGCUUUCCGGGCUUGAGGAUUCCACUAAGCAAGCCUCCAAUGCUUCAAAUGCUUACACUUGACUUCCAAGGUGUUAAUAAACCUUUACAACAAGAGAUUAUCUCCAAUCUCUUAACCCAAGUGUAUCCCAACACUUACAAUCACUCAAAGUAAAAGAUUACAAAUUGUUUUGCCUCUCACAAUAUAUAAGAUUACACAAUGAUACCCAAUAUAUGGAUAGAUGAAGCAAGAAUGUAUUUUAAUAGCUCAAUGAAGAUUGUACUCUCAAGUAUAUGCUCAGCAGUCGUGUUGUGAUAAACUUUUGUUUAAAUUUGAAUGAGCUUAUUUAUAGCUGCUGCUGAAAACUAGCCGUUAUUGACUUUCUGCACACUGUCGGAUCGUCGUUAGCUAGAUGUCGAAUCACCGUUUGACUGGUCAAUAUGACCGUUGGGCUGAUUUUUCAAAUUGUCGGAUCGCCGUUAGCUAGAUGUCGGAUCGCCGUUUAGGUCCAGAGGCUACUGGUUGAUAUCGGCGAGCCGUUUAUCACACAUGUCGGUGUGCCGUUUACGUCCAGAGGCUAAUCUCCAUUUCUACUUGAAAUCGGCGAGCCGUUUAUUACACAUGUCGGAUCGCCGCUUUCCACAAAAACUGUUGUAGUGAACUAUUUUGCAAGAUGACUGUUUUGACUCCAAAUCUUUAUAAACAAUACUUUAUGAAACUUGUCAAAAAUAGAUGAAAAAAUAUGUUGAGUCCUCAAAAGAUUUAUCAAACUUAAUCAUGUUUGUUAUCAUCAAAAUCAAUAAGGAAUUAUUUAGGUUAACAGAAUUCAUAGUCUCUAUUUAUAGUUCCGGCCAUUUGAAUUCAGUUAGUGCAGAUGCUUUGUUCUGUUAUUCUCUUCUGCUCUACUGUUCUCUUCUGGUUUUUGAUUCCAUUUUGAUCUUCUGAAGUUACGAUUUUAGUUUGAAUUGACUUUUAGAACUAAUUAAUAAUAAUUCACCAAAUUGUUUUGUUGCUAAUAGAGGAACACCAUUACAGGGGUACUGUCUGGUUGUUCCUAUGACCGCCCGCCGAGCUGCUUAAGGAUUUUCCCUAAUAUUACUCCCCGAAAGUUUUUACACUUUUGAUGAAAAUAGUCAAAAGUUUUAAACUAAAUUGGCUGAGCUAAAGUUGCAUUUAGUCUUUCUUAUCACCAUUUAUAAAAAAAAAUUGUUUUGAGAUUUUAAAUAUAUAUACGAGAUACAUGGAAUUAUCAGAUAUUUAAAAAUUUCUGUUUGGAACUCAUGACUUCACUUAAGGAAUUUUUAUGAUUCGAAGAAUUUGAGAAUUUUCAUUGAAUGAAUUUUAUGAUUUUUAUGCAUAAGAACUCAAGAUUUUAAUUGACAAAAUUAGGACUUUUGAUUUUUCUUGAAGGGUAUUGGACUAACGAUCUUGCCUAGAGGACUUUUUCUUUGCCUAUGGAGCUUUGGUCUUUGAAUGCAUCAAAAUCCCCAGAGAACUAUUACCCCGUUAACGAUCUUGCAUUCAUGUAUUUAUACCUAAUAUAAAAUAAGUAAAUGGGAAUGGAGUGGUGAUGGGGAAACUAUUCCCCACAUGGGGAUUCUCCAUCCCCACCCCACUAAAUUUAUUGGGGAAUGGGGUGGGGAAUGGAGGCAAAAAAUUUUAAUGGGGUGGGGAAUGGGAUAGGCCUCCUUACCCCUACCCCACCCCAUUGCCAUCCCUAAUUCUAAAUCGGGAGGUUGCCAAUUUUUCACUAAUGAAAUCAAUGUAUACCACUUGCACCUAUUGUAACACCCUAGGAAAAUGCCACAUUGACAAAGCACGAGAGACAUACUGGACUUAUAAGGGGUGAUCCACACCUUAAUUGGCAAGACGCGUUUUGUGGUGUAUGGGCGCCAUAGGAACAAAACCAUACGGGCCUUAUUAAGACCCAAAGCGGAUAAUAUCUUGUCAGAUCUAGGUUGGGUCAUGAUAUUAUGGUAUUAGAGCGGUUCCACGUGUCCUCUUGAGCAAUGGUGGGGCAAGCCUCAGCGAGGAUGCUGAGUCCUCAAGGGGGGUGAAUGUAAUACCCUAGGCAAAUCGCACAUCGGCAAAGCACGAGAGAGAUGCUGGAUUUAUAAGGGGUGAUCUACACCUUAACUGGCAAGACACGUUUUGGGGUGUAUGAGCGCCCUAGGAACAAAACCGUGCGAGCCUUGUUAAGGCCCAAAGUGGACAAUAUCUUACCAAGUCUGGGUUGGGUCAUGACACCUAUUAUUUUCAUAAUAGUCAAUAAUCCCCUGCAACAUAAUUUUAUAACAUUACCCUUAUUUUUACAAUAUCUCUUUUAGAAUUUUCCAUACUGACAUCUCGUGCUCCACAUUGAUUAGUUGUGAAUAAGGCUUGAGGAAUAACAUACCCUCAAGAGACUAUGCCUGAAUAUUAGUAUUAACAUUCUUGUACAAAUAACAGUAGUUGUAUUAGAACAAAAAGUUAAUCAUAUCCCUCAUGUCAUUGACUAUGCUAGUAUGACAUUGAAUUAUGCACAAUUGAAUUACUCAACUACUAAAAAAGAAAUAGUAAUAGUAAUGUUUGCAUUAGAAAAGUUUCUUAUAGGAUAUAAAAUAAUUGUGCUCAUAGAUUAUACUACUCUUAAAUAUCUUUUGAUAAAGAAAGAUGUAAAGGUCAGACUAAUUCGUUGGGUGUUAUUUUUGUAGGAAUUUGACCUUGAGUUCAAAGAUAAGAAAGGCAUAAAAGAUGUGGUGGCAAAUCAUCUUUCUCACCUCAAUUUUGACACAAUUCGAGAACGAUUAUGAUUCAAUGAAUCAUUUCUAGAUGAGCAACUAAUGAGUGUGGAGGUACUAUCAAUGGCAUGCUGAUAUAGUUAAUUAUAUUGUGACAGGGCAACUUUCAGAGAAUUAGACUAAGCAAGAUAAGGCUAAUUUUUUUUUGUGGAAACAAAGAAUUUCUUUUCUGAUGAUCUUUAUCCAUUCAAAUAUUACGUGGAUCAUAUUAUCAGAUGAUGCAUCCCAGAGAGAAAAUUUCAAAACAUCCUUUCAUUAUAUUAGGAACAAGCUUGUAGAGACAAUUUUAGUGCUAGAAAGACGGUUGCUAAAGUUUUACAACAUGGUUUUUAUGUCCAACUUUAUUUUGAGAUGCUUAGACUUCAAUUCUUCAUGUCAUUGGUGCCAAAGCAUAAGAAGUAUUUCACGAAGGAGCAUGAUGCCACUAAACCUUACUAUGGCAGUUGAAUUUUUUAAUAUGUGGGGCAUCGAUUUUAUGGGACCAUUUCCUCUUUCUUUUGGCCACCAAUACAUAUUAGUUUAUGCCAACUAUGUAUCAAAGUAGGUGGAAGCAAUUCUGUGCAGAACCAAUGAUCACAAAGUAGUGAUUGGAUUUUUGAAGAGCAAUAUUGUUUCGUACUUUAGACUCCCUCGACCAAUAAUCAAUGAUUGUGAUACCCACUUUUACAAGAAAACAUUCAUAACUCUUUGGGCAAAGUAUUUCAUCACACACAAAGUGGUUAUCCCAUAUAAUUCACAAAUUAGUGGCUAAGUCAAGAUCUCCAAUCGAUGAAUAAAGUAUAUAUUAGAACAGACGGUGAAGCUAGACAUAAAAGAAUGGUCAUUGAAACUCGAUGAUUCACUAUAGGCUUAUUGAAUGGCUUUUAAAACCCCUAUUAGGAUGCCACCUUAUAGGCUAGUGUAUAAGAAAGUUUGUCACCUACCUAUGGAAAUCGAGCAUCGUGCAUACUGGGCUAUCAAGAAAUUUAACUUUGACAUACAACAAGUUAGUUUGGAAAGAAGAUUAUAGCUAGUAUUAAAGAGAUUCGCAAUAAUGUAUAUGAAAAUGACAAACAUUACAAGUAGCAGAUGAAAGUCUUUCAUGACAAGAAUAUUAUGAGAAAAUCUUUUAUACCAGGUUAGAAAGUGAUGCUAUUCAAUUCUCGCUUACAUCUAUUCCCAAGUAAAUAACACUCUUGAUGGUAUGAUCCAUUCAUUAUUCGCACUAUUUUUUCAUGUGGGCCAUUGAAAUUAAGGAUCUAAAGAAUAAUGUCACUUUUAAAGUUAACGGUAAAAAAUUAAAGUCCUAUAUAGAGUACCAACCACAUGAAGAUGACACCAGAGGAAAUUUGAAAGACCCAUCACAUCUUGAUUAGGUUUUUUUUUUGGGAUGAUUUAACUUUUUGUUAUUUUGUUUUAUUGAUUAAAAUUAUUUUGAUUGUUUCCUACUUUAGUGCAUUUGUUUAAAAAUUAUGCUUUCUUUUAUCAAUUGUAUUUUAGGUCAUGAGUAUCUCAAUGAGACAAAUCUUAUUCAUUAACCUUAACAAACUUCUAUAUAUGAAGCUUGACGUAAGUGGUCUACUCAAAAUUUGUAAAUCACAUCCUGUUUAGGAUCUAUGACCACUAGUGUUAGUAUCCUAUUUCGAAAGACAAUUCAUAGAAAUAGAAGGUAGUAUAUGUGAUAUCCAAUUAGAACUUACGAUAAACUCAAUAAGGAGAUGGUGGUGAGUUAACGCCCUAGUAUUUAUAUUGUUUGUUUUUGUUUUGUUGUUUGCCUUCACAUGCAUUUUGUUUUUGCUAGAUUAAUUAUUUUGUUUGGUAUGUUGUUAUUUCUUACCCUAGUUAAAUGGCAGAUAAUGGUACUUUGUAACCAUUAAAGUCAGUUCUAAUAAUUUUCCAUAAUAACUGACAUUUCCAAGCCAAGGUAUAAAUAAGAAUAUAAUUCUUGCAAAACUUCAUAAGUGAUUUCCCUCUCUCUCUUAGAAUGCAAUCCUCACGAUCUUUAAAACUUGAUCCAAACUCUUACAAUUACUUAUGAGAAAUACCGUUCUUGUUCACAUACUUUGGUUAAUUGAAACCAAAGUAUGAUUAAGAAGGGAGUUACCUCUCAAAUUUGUUGCUUACAUGUCUGGCUACAGGAAAGGAAAUUAUUCAAGAAAAUGAAGAGCUAGACGGCUCCAAGUUUCUUAUCAUAAGUGUGCUCGAACAAACUAUAAUGAAAGUUCUAGUAUAUGUUUAAGAAUGAUGACCUAUAUUAGGGAAGAAAAGAUUCAAUUUAUUAGGAAUGACUUGAAUAAAAAGUCAUUAGAUGGCAUCCUUUCGACCCAUAAAACGCAUCCCAGUGAAUACGUACAAUGUGAAAUUUCCUAGUUAUGGCCAUUAUUCCAAAAGAAAUAUGCACCAUAAUGUCUUCAGCAUUUUAUAUACACUACCAUAUUUACUAGUUUAUCAGAAAACUGGAUGAGAGCCUUUCUCGAUGUAAAAUAAAAGAAAGAUAUGAGCCAUAGUCACAACUAAUAGUAUAUAUCAAUUUGUUUUACUAUUCUUUUAUCAUUUAAAUUAUUGUUUACUAGUGUGAUUUAUCUCCAUUUACUUUUUUUUUUGCUAUUUACUUUUGACUCUUGAACUAGGAACUAUGACAUAAAAAAAGUGACAUAGAAAAUGAAAUAAUAAUAAAACAAAAUAACUAGUAAAAGCUAAAUUGUAUUGAAAUAUGAUUUUUUUUAUAUAUUUGUAAUUGUAAGUUGGUGUGACCUUAAUCCAUUUUUCUACUUGUUUAUUUAUUUUGUAAUGUCAUCAAAGGAUUUGGAUUCAUGGACAUUAAAAUUUGCUAAGAGCACCUUUCAUUUUAUAAAAUAUUUUAUUACAUAAGUGUCCUUAAAUCAAAUCACAUGUAGAAAAAUUACUCCCACCUCUUAAAUAUUAAAAUAGAAAAUAAAAAUGUAUUAAAAGACAGAUUAAAAAUAUAAAAAAGAGUAAAAUAUGCAUGUUAAAGUAUUGUUUAUAUUUUAAAUAACCCUAAUUGGAGAUAGACAUAAAAUAAAAAGGAUUUAGAUUUGGUGUUUAGCUAAAUUUUUAUUAGCUUUUGUAAAAUACUGUGACAUGUGCUUUUUAUGAAUUUUAAUGGUUAAGAUUUAGUUUCUCUUAAUAGCCUAAUGAAAAUAAUAUCGUUUUCUUGGUUUUAUUCCCCUUUUUCUUUCAAUUUUGUGGUUUUUUUAUUUCAUGAACGUAUGGAAACUAUGAAAUCAUUUUUUAAUCAUCCUAGAUAUUAAGAAAUUCCAAAUAAAUUCUAUCUUAAAGACUUUUCAAGCUUUUGCAACCGCUCAUACUGAGAAUAGCAAACUUUUUUAGAGGUGAAAUCAGCGAGGGCUUGGAGUUUGAGUAAGAACAUUGCCAGCUCCAACCAAAAUGAGAAAGGCCAAGAGAAGCAAAUCAUUAAUUAGCAUGUAUAGAGACUGAAAUAGAACAAAAACUAUCAAAAACCUUGGCUAAGCAUUGGACUCAAAUCCUAUAUAGGACAAAUGGUCCUAAUAAAGUAAUUAUAAUCGUUUGAUUAUUAUUAAUAUUUAACUGAAUGCUCUCUCAUAAAUUGAUUCAAAGAUAUACAAUAAAUUAGUACUACAAUAUAACACACACAACAUAUCAUAUGCUUAUAAUAAAUUAAUUCUUUAUUAUAUUAAAAUAUAGGAUCAAUUUCUCAACAAUUGAUGGUUAUAACAAAAUUAUUCAUAUGGCAAAAGACAAAUAACUAUUUAAAAAAAUCAUUGGCAUCCAAUAACAAGCUCUAGGGGUAUAAGGCGUAAUCAUUCUCAAGGGAAUUAGGAUAGAUUCUUUAAUUGUAAGUUCCAACCAGCCGCCAUUAUUUGGUGAUGUUGCAAAAUUGGUACACAAUGAAACAUAUAGUUUACAUUCUUGAUCAGUACAUUGAUGCUUGAAAUAAGUAUGUAUUAAGUGAAGUUGUUGAUUCUAUUUAUGAGUAUUGAAUAAGUUAGGAUGAUGAAACCAAGACUUUUUUACAUUUAAUAUUUUCUAAACUGAAACAUAAACAACCUAUUGAGAAUUAAAAGAGAGGUAAAGAAUAACAAACACAUGAGGCUCUGCAUAUAUAAAUGAAUAUUGAGAAAUGAGGUAUAAUGAAUUUUAUGAGGUUGUUGAUUCUAUUUAUGAGUAUUGAAUAAGUCGUAGUGCAUUUAUUUGCAUUAACUAUUGACUUUAAUAUCUUGUUGUGUUCUCAUUCGUGGUAAUUGAAACAUACAUCUAAUCAAUUUUAUCAUUUUUUUUAGUAUUACUUUUUGUUGAAUUUAUCACUUGGUUUUUUUUUCUUUAUUUAAUGCUUGUUAUAAAUAUUGGUAUUUUGUGAAAUACUAUUCAAAUUUAAACGAACUCGUUAAUCUCUAGACAUAGCGUGCAAGCGAAAAAUAUAACAUCAAAAAUAGUGACACAUAAAAUGAAAUGAAAAUAAUAAAAUAGUUAAAGAGCAUGGUACUCAAACGUAACCAAAAGAAAAUCGUAGAUUAACCAAAUUUUAAAAAAAUCUUGUGAAUAGAAAAUCCGAUCCUCUUCUUCUCUCCAUUUCUGCUAAAGAAUAUAUAUAUAUAUAUAUAGAAGGAAGAGAAAGCAAGAAGGCGAAAAUUAACAGUGUCAAUACUUCCAUUUGCAUCAAAUUCAAGCAUUAAAUCGUGCUCCACCACAUUGUCUCCUUACAGACUUAGGCUUAUUUCCCUUCAGUAUCAGCUCAAAUAUUGAUGAUUCCAUGAAUGAGCAUUAAAGAUGCUUUUAUUUUUAUUAAUUAUUAACUUGCACAAUUAAUUAAUUUUGUCAUUUUUAGUGUUAUUAUCUUUAUUUAAUUUAUAUGUCAGAUUUUUUCUCUUUAUUUAAUCUAUUGAAAUUAUUAUCAUUAUUGUGAAAGCAUUAUUCCAAAUUUUUGGAUUUAAAUUAAACUCUAUGCAUAGCGGGCAAAAAGUGACAUCACAAAAAAGUGACAUAGAAAAUAAAAUAAAAAUAGUAAUAAAAUAAAAUAACUAAUAAAAGCCACAAUACUGGAAUAGAGUCAAUAGAAAACCGCAAAUUACAUAUAUAGACAAAUGACACCUCCUCUAAAAUAUUAGAGUAGAAGUAUUGACAGAAGUUUAGAAAUUAGGAAGGGUAAAAUAUUGGUGUUAAAAGUGUUUUUAAAGUACAAAUAAUUACACCCUAGUAGCAGAUAGAUAUAGUAUACAAGGGUGGGAAUGCUUGCACAUUUAAAUUAUCUUGUACAUUCCAUUAUUUUGCACACUCAUUUAUUAAUUUUAAAAUUAAUUAUACAUUGUACACUUUUUAAAAUGUCAAAAAAUUUCUCGGUUUUUAGAUUAAUUACCUUUAUUUACUCUCACACUCAUGAGAAAACACACUAAAAUAAUUUCUCCAAAUAUUCUUUUUAUUAAAAUUUAAUUAUUUGGUUAGAUAAUCAAUUUUGCCAAUAAACAAAUAAUGAUCGACAACAAAACUGGAUGAGCCAACAACUCGCAUCAAAAGAUUUCACCAUUCAAAAGAUCACAAGAAAUAAACAUUAUAAAUCAAACAAAUAAAUCAAUUAAGCAAAAAUGGUUAUCACUUACAUCACAUUGCUUUUAGCAGGCUCUUGCUUGCUAGUUGGAAAGACAAAAAAAUGGCAUGAAAGUAGCAUCCGAAAGAUUAUAAUUAAACAAUUGUACUUUCUGUGUUGCAAGGCUAUGAAAAAUUAAUACUUUUUGUGUUGUAAACUAGAGAUCAAAUGGAUCACACAUACCUCAUUGAAAUUAAAAUCUUCAAACAUGUUGAGCUACUCCUCUGUAAAUAUUUGUUCAAGGGGUUGGGAAGAAAAAUUUUAGGGGUCAAAUGGUAAGAAAAGUUAACAGAUAUAGAUAAAUUACAUACAACAAAUCAAUACCAUGUAACAAACACAAUAUAUCACAUGCUCAUAAUGGAUUAAUUCCUUCUUUUAUUAAAAUAUAGCAUCAAUUUCUUUACAAUUGAUGGUUAUUGCAAAAGUAUUCAUUUGGCAUAAGAGGAAAACUAUUUAACAAAAUCAUGGGUUAUAGAUGAUGGUGUAGUCUUGACUAUCAUGGUGAUACUUAUUGUAACAUUCUUCUGGUGUAAGUCCAAUGAACUUGUCGCUAUCAGGUGAUAUCGCAGAAUUAGAUUCUUGGUCGGUACUAGUGCUUGAAACAUGUGAGUUUUCAGUGCUUGCAACCAAAAGCAAAGCCAAGAUAAUGAAACUGAGACUCUUCGACAUGUUAUAAUUUCUAAACUUAAUUGUAAACAACUUAAUUAAAAUUAAAAGGAGGUGAUGCAUAAGAAAUACAUGAGGCCCUAUAUAUAUGAAUGAAUAUUGAGAAAUGCGUUAUAGUGGCCUUUAUGAUGCUUCCAUGAAUAAGCAUUAUAUAAAUCAUAUUAUGUUUACUUUUAUUAACUACUGACUUUAAUAUCUUGUUGCGUUAUCAUCAAUGGUAACCAAAACAAACAACUAAUUAAUUUUAUCAUUUUAGUAUUAUUUUAUUCUUUUUUGUUGUUUUUUUUUUUCUCUUUAUUUAACCAUAUUCAAAUUAUUAUUAUUGCUAUUGUGAAAUUAUAAAUCUGAAAGUCAGUUUUUGCAUUAUUUUAUUUACAAUAACUUUUUAGCUAUGUCUAUAUUAGUAUAUAUCUUAUAUUCAAUUUUUAGAUUAAUGUAUUUUAGUAUUAAUAAAUUCAAUCACGAUAAUCUGAUAACCGCUUAAUAUUAAAAUUUAGUUUCCAAUAUUUAUGUUAUUUUAUUAAUUAUAAAAAUACUUUUUAGUAGAUAUAUGUAAAUUUUUUUAACUAUACUUAUUGUAAUAUUUUACUUUUAAUAUGAUAUUUAUAUAUUAUUUUUAUGUAAUGUAUGUAUGUAUCUAUGUCAGUUUACAGUAAGUAUAUACUUAGAUAAUGAUCAAAGAAUAUAAUAGUAAAAAGGGGUUCUAUGUGAGUGAUCGAUCUAGAAAAGUAAUUUACUGGGGGCUAGAAUACAUAAGAACAAGAUGUAAAAACUAAAAUUUUAGGGGUUUUCAGGUUUAUGUUGGUUCAUUUUUUUCUAAUAGAUUUAAUAAAGGGAUUAAUUAAAUAAUAGUAAGACCACCCAUAUGAGUUAUUGUGGGCUUUUAAUUAAAGAGUGGAUUUUUAUAAUUCUUAUAUUUAAAACUUAAUUUUUAUGAAUUUAUGAGUUUAUCGGAGGCUGUUUUUAUAAAUCCAACAAGGAAUAUUUUUAUAGAUUUGAAGGGGUCUAAUUAGAAACUCAAGUAAUUUUCUCUUUAAUUUUUAGAAUUUAUUUUCUAGAGCGAAACUCAAACCCCACUGGUCAUGUGCUAGAUCUUUAGAACGAUCUAAUCUAUACAAACCAAAUAUCUUCCUCUCUUUAUGUAGUUAAAAUUUAAUUUUUAAGGGUUUUUUGUGUUUAUGGGGACUAUUUUUAUAAAUCCAACAAGGAGUAUUUUUGCAGAUCUAAUGGGUUCUAAUUAGAAAUUUACCUAAUUUUCUCUUUAAUUUUUGGAAUUUACUUUCUUGAGUGGAGCUCAAACCCACUGAUCUGUGCUAGGUCUUAAGGACGAACUAAUCUAUACAAAUCAAAUAUCACUCCUCCUCACUCGUUCCUCAUAUCUUUUUUGCGAUUUUGUCUAUUAUUGGCCAUAUUGAACCAUUCAGUCAUAUUCAUUGAGACUUUGAAAAUGGUUGUUUAUCAAAUGGGAUAAAUGAAAAAUCAACUUGGCAGAAUUAAUUUUUUGUUUUACAUAUAAGCAUGUUAUAGAGAAGACUUGACUAGAGAAUUGAGUAAUAAAAGGGCUUUUCCUUGAACUAGUAGAGUUGGCCAAAGCAAAUCAAAGGCCCAAAAACAAACUGAGCUGCCGAUUAAGUUUUGAAUGAUUAAUAGUUGCUUUCAUUAUACAAAAUACACCUACAACCACUUAAUUUAAAAGGCCAACAAAGUGGUGUUGUUGGAGGUUUUUAUUGUCUGUAAGGAGUUCUGUAAGAAUAUGAGAGAAUUAACAUGUUAUUUUGAAAAAAAUAAUUAAUGUUGAUCACGAGUGAGAGCUCCCAUAUUCUGGAAACUCUCAAACGAGAAAGAGCUUUUGAUAUCCCAAUAUAAUAAUAAGUGACUGGCUAAUUGUCGUGAGGAAAAGAAAAACAAAGAGAUGAAUCAUGAAUUUGAGUUUAAUUUUGGAAUUUUGAUAAAUUGAUUAAGUAAACACUUAAUUUUCUAGUUUAGUAAAUAAUGUUUUUAAAAAAAAUGAAUAUUCGAAGUACAUUGCAGAGUGCAAAUAACCUCACUCAUUCCUAAAUUACCCACAUGUUAAUUUACCAUUAAAAACAAUUUUAUGAUAAUUUCUACUCUAGACACCUACUGACUACACUCAUUAAUAAUUUAUAAAUAAACUAAUAUUAUUUUCAUCUUAACAAUUUACAUCCCAGAUUUCUUUUGUCGAUCACAUGCGUAGAGAUCUCAUGGUUUCUAUUUUUUCUGAUCCAAUCUGUAAUAUUUUUCAUGCAAUGAAAAUCUUGGAUAUUCUUCUGCUAACUAGCUUUUAGUUAUGGCUUAAGUGAAAUAUUGAAGAUAAAAGGUCUAGGGUUUUAAAAUUAUUUUGGUGGUUGUAGUGAGAAAAUAAAAACUACGCUAUGGUAAUUGAUAAGCAACAAAAGCAUCAGACAAAUCAACAAGAACCAAGGUCACCAGUUGUGACAAAUAUGGCAGUAUUGUUUCCUUAGCUAAAGGGUUUACUGAGGACAGAUUAAGGAAAGAACGACGCUGGUAUACACUUCUAACGGACACAAGAGAAAUCAGUGUACAUGAUUGAAGGAGUCCAACGGCCACAAGCCAAUUUUGAUAUAAAGCGCUCAACGUCAUGAUUCUCGGAAGUUAGUGUAAUUGAUACAAUUGUGAGAACCUUUCAUUUGUGCAAGCUUGAUUUUGAUAAUCUGUGUAUAUAAUGUAAUGAUCGAGCAAAUACAAAAACAAGAAAACAAAUUGUUUUCAAUCAAUCCUGUAUUUCUUUAUGGUAUCAGAGCCUAUGGCUACAAAAAUACAAACUAAGCCCAAACUCUCGAUCCAAUCAUUCCACCAAUGUGCAAGCCUAAUUUCCAUCAAACUCAACAACAAUAAUACCAUCUUUGAAGUCGCAAGUCCUGCCACUGCCACUCAUAAGAAGCCUUGAUCUAGAGCAUCACAUCAAUGAUGCAACAGUUCCACCAAGAAAUAUUUCUAGAUGGAAAAAAGGUCAACACUCCUGAAUUUAAUGCAUGUGGUAGCUUGUAGAUAGUUCCAUGUAAUUAUUGAGAUAGGUAGAUAGUUUUAAAGCAUCAUCCAUACAUUUCCUUGUACCCUAUAAAUAGGAGGGGCCUCAUUUGGCUCAACACACACAAGAAAUCCAGCACUGACAUUACUUAAAAGCACUGUAGGCUUUCCUUGAGUAAUAGAGUUCUUUCCUCCCAUCUUGAGCAAGUUUGAGUGAAUACUCUUUCCCACUUUCGAAUCCAGUAACGUUGUGAGUGAGCAAGGUUCACUUAGGACCAAGAGAGUGAGAUUUAGCACCUAAGGCCCUGCGAUUCAGUGAGGGAUCAAGAGGGUCGUGAUAGUUGGUAUCAAAGCCGUAAUCACUCUUGGGGUAAUUGCGUCAUUUAAAAGGAAGAAUGUCGGACCUCACUUAUGAUGACCAAAGGGGUAGGGACCAAAAUCCCAACUUGAAAAAGAGAAAGAACAACAAGGAGAAGUCCGUGGAUAGGCUGAACGCCAUUGAGAAUUGGGUUGUUCGUAGGGAGAUUGUUGUCUUUGAGAUAAAGGAGCGCCUCGAGAUCUUCAAGCAAAAGAUGAAAGAGGUUGAUAAUCUUGAGGGACAAAUGGUUGACUUACUUAAGCCAAGACAUGAUGGUGCAACACUAAAGUCUCAAGAAGUUCCAAGCUGUAGUGAUGAACUAAAUCGAGGGGCUAAGAACUCAAGUGGAGGAGCUUUACACGGGUCAUAAGGAGACCAAGAGCAAUAGGGCACUUUGAAAGAAGGCGGUGGCCAGCGAAGUGUUCACCACUAAUGCCGUACCUUUAAUAAAGAUUGAGGUUCUUGAGACCAAAGAGGUACAAGGGCAAACGAAAUGCCCAAGAGAUUGACAAUUUUCUGUGGUCCAUGGAGAGGUACUUCGAAACCACCAAUGUUCAAGGCGAGCAAGAAGAGGUAAAUAUGACGAUGGGGUAUCUUGAAGAUCACGCAACUACUUGGUGGCAAUAGAAGCAUGCAAAGAUUAUACGCAGGAUGUGUAUUAUCAACACAUGGGGCUUGUUCAAGCGCGAGCCAAAGAAGCAAUUUUAUCCAGGGAGUGUAGCGUAAGAGGCUAACAAAAAGAUGAGAGAACUGAAGCAUACAGGGUCCAUCUCGAGAACAUGAACCCAAAUGACCUGUUGUUCAUCUUUAUGGAAGGACUCUAACCAUGGGCACAACGGGAGCUUCAAUGGUACCAAGUGAAUGACACCUCCACUGCCCUCACUGAGGUAGAUAUACUUGUAGAAUUUCGAAAUGAUGAAUCAUCUAAGCCAAAGAAGGAUGAUAAGCCCCAACAUAGGAAAUGUGGAGGUGCAAAUUAAAAGGAGAUAAGCUACCACAUUAUGAUGGCUAAGAAAAACUGUCACAAAAGAAGGAUGGUUUGAAGGACGGUAAGGAGAAAGUCAAGCGUAAGCAUAACUACUACCUUUGUAAUGUGGACUAUUGGGUGACAAACUGCCUGAAGAAGAAAGCUUUCAACGCCAUGUUCAACGAGCUCGAAGAGAAACAACUAAAGGUGCCACCAGCUACAGCCGCCAACAUAAGUUGCCUCUGAAAUUUUAAGAGCUUAUUGGUCCUAAAAAAAUUAUAUUUAGAUAUUUCUAUCAAAUGACAAAAAUUUGGUAUGUAGACAGUGUGCCUUGAGAUAUAUAAUUUUUAAAUGAAAAUUGCUAAAGGGACUAAAGGCUGAUAAAAUGUUAAUAAAUAAUGCCUUGUAGUGUUAUAGUGUACGUUAAUUGACGAUGUUAUAUAGUUCAUUUUAUUAGUGCUUUGUCACUUUUUUAAUCCAAAUAUCUAAAUGAAAAAUGCUGAAAUGAUUUCCUACAAAGUACUACAAAGAUGACAAUGAGAUAAGAAAUGGAAACAACAUUUAUUUAUAAAAAUAAAAAAUUUGCAAACAAAAGGAUCUCACUAUGUAACCAUAUAUAUCAUUUUAUUGAAUUAUUAUUAGCCGGAGCAUCAUCAUGUUUUUUCUUUUAUUCAAGGCUUAGUUAUAUAUAAUUAAUUAAGCAAUGGGAUCAACAAUUAAAGAUAAAACACGAGCUUUAGUAAUUUCUUGAACACCGUGUCCGUGACCUUCUCCAAAUUGGUACAUGCAUUGAGACAUCCUCGCCAAAUUCAUUGCAAUCCCAACAAAAACGUCGGACACGAAAUGUGGGUUUCCAAAUCGAUCACGGUUCAUCUUCAUCCAUGUCUGAGCAAUCAAAUCAUGUAUAUGUUCACGAGCUUCUCUCUCUGAGACUCCAGCUUCAUGCAUGUAACAUUGAAUUGAUUUAUGAACAUCUCCCCUCUUCAGCUCAUCCUAAUAAUUAAUUCAAUCAAACUUAUUGUCAACAACAUUAACAAUUAACUAAUUAUCUAAUAAUCAGAUUGUGAGUACUACAAUUUGUUAUGGAGAAUAUCCUAUACUGCUGAGAAUAAUUCCUCAACUAAUAAUAAGAAUAUAUUAUGUUGUCAGUGGAUAUGAGAUAUCUUCUAUAACAAAUUUAAUAUUAAAAAUGAAUUCAUUGUACCGAUGAUUUUCCCAAAUCGUCUGCAAGUCGUAGAAUUAUUGAUGACCAACGAAUUAUGUUGGGAUAAUCUUUCACGAAUUCCAAGCCCUCCGUUGUUAUUGGAUUUGCUGUAGAAGUGUAUGCAUGGACUAGAAUUACAGGUGCUGCUACCGAAAUCCAAGCAUUUUCCAUGUACUCUUGGAGUGUUGGUAUGUAGCCGUUGUCGUACCACUUGGCCUCCACUAAAUAUGUUUUGCGUAGAUUUGCCCACUGAAAGUUUUAUUUUUGUAUAUCGAAUUGAUUAAUAUAAUAUCAAAUACAAAAGCAUAAAUUAAAUUAAUUAAAGGGAAAUAAUUUCCAAGCACCUCAAGAAUAUUAUAAAUAUAAUUAGUCACCAUAAAUUUCUAAUAAUAUCUUGGCACUAACUCAAAUUUUAGUUUUAUAUCAACCAGACAUUUUUUUAUUAACUCUAUUAGCUAUCAUUAAAUAAUUUAAGGUAAAAGACCAAUUUACCCUAAAAUGAAAAACACAUGGUAAAUUGGUGGUGCAAAAUAAUCUUUUAUCUUAUAUUAUUUUAAUAGUGACUAACAGAGUUAAGAGAAAAGUGAUCGGUUUACAUAAAAUUAAAACUUGAAAUGAUGUAGAGAUAAUACUAGUUAUCAUAGCAGUUAUUAAACUUUUUGAUAUUCUUAAGGUGAUUGGAGAAUAAUAUUCCUUAAUCAAAAUGAAAGGUUUAAUCUACUAGUACCGCUUUCUUAAGAUAAGAAAUGACCAUGCCAACUCCUUGAUCCCGAAGAGCAUCAAAAGCCAUUUCAUUUAUGGAAUUAUGGAGAGCAAGAAAGCACAACUUCGUAUAGUCUGGAAGUUGCUCUAUUGUAGUAGCGUCCCACCUAACAAUGUAAUACAACUAAAUUAAAAUAAGAGAGGUGUAUAAAUUUAUAAAUUCCUGAGUAAUGAUCUAGUGAAUAAUGUGCUCGCUUUAUGCUGGGCAAUACUAUCACAUAAUUUAUAUAAUUACUUCAUAAUUUUAACAAUAUUCAUUAGGAAUCACAAAAUUAUAUCAUGUGUCCAAGUGUUUAUCAUACGAUGAGUACUAAUCCUCACUAAAUCAUUUUCCAUACACAAUCAUACAGAUAGAAAUGACAUUAAAUAAAAGUAACCUCUCAAUUGCAUCCGUGAAAAGUUCAAGUUCGUCCAAAGUCCUAUAGACAUCAUAAACAUCAUCUAUUGUUGUUAUUAAGGCAUUGACCAUUGUAGACAUCCGUCUACUAUAUCCAAAAUCCGGUUCGAAUAUCACCCCCACGGUCCAGAAGAAAUUCUCCAUUAUUCUGUCUCUUGCAAAAUUCAACCUCUCCCCAAGUCCUGUUUUCUUCCACCACCUGACCACAUAAUUAAUUAGCAUGAAAUUAAUUGAGUUACAUAAAUACAUGCUCAGUUAGAUUUAAUUAUUCUUGAGUGCGGAUCUCCACAUUUUUACAAAUGCUAUUGUGAAGAUAGCUCAUUAUGCAGAAGUGAAGAAGAAGAAUCAGCAUGGUGUUAAGCCUUGUAACAAGAAUGUCAAGUUACCAGCUGUCAUUAGUGCCACGUCAGAAGAUCCAAGCCAGCAGCAGUUACCAGCUUAACUAACUUCACAAUGCACACUCUGUAUUUUGUUAUUGUUAGUUGAGUGAGCUUGUGUUUAAUAAUUAGUUAGUGAGCAAUUAGUUAGAGUAUGUAAAGCAUGUAUAAAUAGCUACAUAUUCGAGAUUGUUAACGUGUACAAAAUAUCAGUUCAUUAAUGAAAUAAGAAAUUUUCCUAUGUUUUUCUCAGCUGCCAAACAGCAGCACUUAUCAACUUUUACAAUUUCUUCAUGGUAUCAGAGCCAUUCAUGGCAACCUCAAGCAAUCAAAAUACAGUAGCUACAAAUCAAACAACUUUUUCUUUCAUCACACCAAUCAAAUUAGAUAGAUCUAACUACAUGCUUUGGAAAAAUCAAGUGCUGGCCUCCAUUAGAGGAAAUCGACUUGAAGGAUACAUUAAUGGAGAAAAGAUUGCACCAAAUCGAUUUAUAGCAUCAUCAAGCUUUGCUGGAGCAACUGCUGGAGCUGCUGGAUCUUCUCAACAGAUCGAGAAUCCUGAAUACACAGUUUGGAGAUCUCAAGAUCAAACAUUACUCAGCUAGCUUCUUAGCUCAAUAACCGAAGGUAUUCUCAGUCUAGUUCACUUAUGUAAUACUUCAUUUGAUGUAUGGAAAACAUUAGAGAAAAGGUUUGGUGUACAAUUUGAGGGUAGAGUUCUUCAACUUAAGUAUGAGAUGAGUGUCUUAAGAAAAGAAUUACUAAGUAUUGAAGAAUAUUGCUUAAAAAUGAAACAAGUUACAGAUAAAUUGGCGUGUGCUGGUAGUCCUGUAUUAGAUAGAGAUAUGUUGCAACAAAUUCUCAAUGGUUUAAGAGCUGGCUAUUUGGAUUUAGCUACUUUUAUCACAACAAGCAAGUUGGAUUAUGAUGAUGCUUAUGCUUUAUUACUCACUCAUGAAGCCAGACUUGAACAAAGUCAAAGUGAAAAGCACAUGUUUAAUGCAAACUAUGGUAAUAUGUCUAACUGGAAUAAUAAUAGUAUGAUGAAUGCAUACUAUGCUCAAAUAAGAGGUCAAGCUAGGAGAGGAGGAUAUACAGGAGGUGUCCAGGGCAAUUAUAAUGGUCAUUUAGGUGGUAGAAAUGGCAUGUUUAAUGGUAGAUGAAUAUUUUUAAACUCACAUCCAAGAGGUUUUCCUGCUGGAACUGGUCAUUUUGGUAAUCAUGGAAGAAAUCAAAUGAUGAUGGGAAGUAAUAGAUUUGGUUCUUCUGGAAGAGGUUCAUUUGGAAGUAUUGGUUUUUCUGGUACUGGUAAUUUGCCUUCUUUUGAAUCACAAGCAUCCAACAGUGAUGAUUCGAUGAAUACAUGUCAGAUUUGCUUCAAAGCAGGACAUACAGCUGUUGAAUGUUGGCACAGAUUUGAAGAAAAUUACAUACCUCAGCCACCAAGACAAUUUCAGAGAGAAAAAGGUUCAAAGUCUGCUUACAUAGCUAAUUAUGAACCUGCAUACAUGCCUUACUAUUCAACAAAUGAUGAUCCAUGGCCUGUUAAUAGUACUGGAUUACAAAUGUCACAUUCUGGACAUUCUUGUGUAUAUGACUAUUCUGGUAUACCCUAGGCUGGAGCUGCUUUUGCUGCACAUUGUGAAGGACCUGCAGAUGAAGGCUGGUACCUGAACAGUGGUGCCACAUAUCAUCUGACCAACAGCAUGGGAAAUCUGAAUAUCAGAGAUGAGUUUAGAGGUGAUGAUAAGCUCAUUAUUGGUAAUGGUGAAGGUUUAUCAAUAACUCAUAUUGGUGAUUCUUAUUUUUCAUUCAAGAGUUCAAAAUCUCAACCUGCAGAUUCACAUAUUGCACUUAAAGAUAUUUUGCUUGUUCCCUCUAUCACAAAGAACCUAAUAAGCAUUUCCAAACUUACCACUGACAAUAACAUUUCUGUUGAAUUUCUUGGAUCAUUUUGUGUUGUGAAGGAUUUGCUGAAAGGACAAGUUCUAAUGCAGGGCAUUGCUGAGAAAGGAUUGUAUAAAUUGCUGGUCAAACCUAUGUCUUCCACCAAGAAUUUUGAGUCAUCAUCUGUUGUGUCUCAUAGUCAAGCCAAUAAACCUCUGUCAAUGUUAUCAUUCUGUCAUCUUGCUUCUCAUAUGCCAUCUGUAGAGUUCAUAAAUAAUCCAAACAUUUGUUUACAGAAUGGUAUUGAUGUAUGUUCUGAUAAGCUUAAUAAAAUAGCUCUUUUACACAGAAGAUUUGGCCACCCAAAUUCUCAAAGCUUAUUGCAUUUACUCAAACUUCAUCAUGCUGAUAAGUUCUCUAUGAAUAUGGUUAAACAAGCAACACAACAUUUCUAUGAAGCAUGUCAGUUGGGUAAAAUACACAAAUUGCACUUCCCAAUUACGGAAAUCAAAACCAAAUCAGCACUUGAGCUUAUACACACUGAUCUUUGAGGUCCCUCACCAGUUAUUUCAAGAGAAUGCUUUAGAUAUUAUAUUAGCUUUGUUGACGAUUUCACUAGAUAUACUUGGAUUUACCCAUUGAAAUUGAAAUACGAAGCUUUAGAAGUUUUUAAGCUAUACAAGUUGCAAGUUGAAAACCAGUUCCAAACAACCAUUAAGAUACUGCAAUCUGACAUGGGGGGGAGAAUACAGAUCAUUCACUGAAUUUUUAAAUCAGUGUGGCAUUUUAUUUAGGCACUCUUGUCCACAUACUCAUCAUCAGAAUGGCUUAGUUGAGAGAAAGCACAGACAAGUGGUAGAAUUGGGUCUUACAUUGUUAGCUCAAGCUAAGCUUCAUUUAAAUUUUUGGUGGGAUUCUUUCCAUGCUUCAGUUUAUCAUAUCAAUAGGUUACCAACUUCAGCUCUUAAAAUGUUGACACCAUAUGAAAAACUUUUCAAACAUAAAGCUGAUUAUAAGAUGCUGAAAUGUUUUGGUUGUGCUUGCUAUCUAUACUUGAGAGAUUACAAUAAGCAUAAGUUUGAUUUUCAAACAAGUAAAUGCAUAUUCAUUGGUUAUAGCCCUGCUCACAAAGGAUAUAAAUGCAUGCAUCAUUAUGAUCGUAUAUACAUAGCAAGGCAUGUCAUAUUUGAUGAAAAUGCAUUCCCUUUCUCUUCAGAUCGUAAUUUCAAUUAUGAAAGCAAAAUACAACCAAUAUCUAGCUAUACUUUGUCUCCUCAUCAAGUUUGUCAUUUGUCCACUCUCUUGUUGUGUCAAAUCCUUGUGAUAGCAGUUUUGAAUCCUGUCCUCCAGCAUGUUCCAACAACACAGAACUGUUCCCACCAGCAGAUCACCUCCAAGCAAAUGAGGCUACACAACUUUAAACACCAAAUCUUAAUCCUGCUCUUGAACCUACUCAUGAUCAAAACUCACCAAACACUUCAAAUUUUACUCCAAUUCUAUUACCAUCUCAAUCUCAAAUAACCUCAAACAGUAUUCAACCUUUACAAAACAAUCACCCUAUGAUCACAAGAGGAAAAGCAGGUAUUUUUAAACCAAAAAUGUAUACUGCAGUGUUAGUUCACAAAGAGCCAGAUUCAGUUGAUGAAGCUUUGCAAGAUACAAACUAGUUUACAGCUAUGAAAAAUGAGUAUGACGCACUAAUCGAAAAUAGAACUUGGUCUUUAGUACCAAGAACAGAAAACCAGAAAAUUGUUGGGAAUAAGUGGGUGUAUAGGAUAAAGUAUAAUACUGAUGGCAGUGUAGCUAAGUAUAAGGCUCGGUUGGUGGCAAAAGGGUUUCAAUAGAUUGAGGGUGUGAAUUAUUUUGAUACCUUUAGUCCAGUGGUAAAGCCAACAAUAGUUAGAGUAGUUCUUAAUUUUGCAGUGAUGAAUCCGUGGAUAGUUAGACAGGUGGAUGUCAACAAUGCAUUCUUAAAUGGUGAAUUGUCAGAAGAGGUGUUUAUGCAGCAACCUGAAGGAUUUGUUGAUAAAAGCAAACCUAACUAUGUUUGUAGAUUACACAAAGCAUUAUAUGGUCUUAAGCAAGCUCCUAGAGCUUGGUUUGAAAAGCUCAGAGGAUGUCUUCUGCAGUGGGGUUUCAGAAAUUCCAAAUCUGAUUCUUCUUUAUUCUUAAGAAGAACUAAAUUGUCACUCAUCAUGGUAUUGAUAUAUGUUGAUGACAUAUUAGUUACUGGACCUAACAGUGGAGAAUUGGACAGCUUCAUUCAAUAAUUUAAUACUGUUUUUGCUUUGAAAGACUUAGGAAGGUUGUCUUAUUUCCUUGGUAUAGAAGUGUUGUAUGGUCAGGAUUGCAUUUAUUUGUCUCAGAAGAAGUAUAUAAGAUAUUUGCUUGCUAAAGUAGAUAUGCUUGAUUGUAAAGGAGUGAUAACACCAAUGUGUAGUGGCAAAGACUCAAAGUUACAGAAGAUAGUUAAAGAAGAAUUGGGUUACUAUGUUGAAGAUGCUACUCAUUAUAGAAGCAUUGUAGGUGGUCUCCAGUACCUGAUCUUGACAAGACCAGAAAUUGCUUAUUCUGUUCAUAAGCUGAGCCAAUAUGUAUCUGCACUAACUAUGCAACAUCUUAUGGCUUGCAAAAGGGUUUUUAAAUAUCUAAAGGAGACACAGGAUUAUGGCUUAAAGUUUGUUAAGGAUGGUGAUAUGAAAAUUACUUCAUUCACUGAUGCAGAUUGGGGAAGUGACUUGGAUGAUAGGAAAUCAAUUGGAGCUUACUGUGUGUAUCUUGGAAAUAAUCUGAUUUCAUGGUCUUCGAAGAAGCAAACAGUAGUCACUAAGUCUUCAGCUGAGAGUGAAUAUAGGGCACUUGCUUUAGCUGUUUCAGAAAUAGCUUGGUUAAAAUCAUUGUUUCUGGAAAUGGGAGUAUGCUGUGUAGAGAGACCAACAAUAUGGUCUGAUAAUAUGAGUGCAACAGAACUAGCAAAGAAUCAUUUAUUCCAUUCAAGAACUAAACACAUUGAGAUUGAUGUUCAUUUUAUUCGAGAUAAAGUGUUAGCUGGUGACCUCAAAAUCUGUUAUGUGCCAAGUGAAGAUCAGAUUGCAGAUAUCCUAACCAAGCCCUUAUCUUCUCCUCAGUUCAAUUACUUAAGGGACAAACUCAAUGUCUUUCCAUGUCCUUUGAGUUUGAGGGGGCUGCGAAGAUAGCUCAUUAUACAGAAGUGAAGAAGAAGAAUCAACAUGGUGUUAAGCCUUGUAACAAGAAUGUCAAGUUACCAGCUGUCAUUAGUGCCACGUGAGAAGAUCCAAGUCAGCAGCAGUAACCAGCUUAACUAACUUCACAAUGCACACUCUGUAUCAACUUGCCUAAUUGAUCAUUGAUUCAUCACUGCAAGACUUAGCACAACUCUGACAGUGGCUGGUUUUAUCACUGGAUUGAAAGUCUCAAAAUAGUUCACCCUUGCAAUCUGCUGAAAACCCUUUGCCACUAACCUAGCUUUAUACUUAGCUAAACUGCCAUCGGUGUUGUGUUUAACUCUGUAUACCCACUUAUUGCCAACUAUCUUUUGAUAACUUGUUCUUGGAACCAAUGACCAUGUAUUGUUACGAGUUAAAGCGUCAAAUUCAUUUUUCAUAGCUGUAAACCAAUUUGGAUCAUGUAAUGCCUCAUGAACUGUAUCUGGUUUCUUAUGUUCAAGAAUUGCUGUGUAUACUUUGGGUUUAAAGAUACCAGCUUUACUCCUGGUAAUCAUUUGGUGUGUGUUUGGUUGAGAUGAAGGUUGUUGAAUGAUUAUUGAUGUUUGUAUAUUGGAUGAAAUAGGUAUUGGUUGAUUGUUAGGUGAAGUGGAUGGAGACGAUGUAGGUUGAAUAGGUAAAAUGUGAGAUUGUAUAGGUUCUUCUGGUAUAGUGUGUUGGGUUGAAGCUGAGUUAACCAAGUGGUCAGAACCACUGCAAUUGGAACUUACAGAGUCAGGAUUAGUCAAGCUGCCAUCAGGAGAAAAAGAAGUUACAGAUAGAGUAGUGAGAUGAUAGACUUGUUGAGGAGUAAGAUGAAUAGGAGAGCAAAAAUUGGAUUUCUGUGACUCGUAAAUAUUUGAAUAAGGAAAUGUAUUUUCAUCAAAAACCCGGACACAUACGACCAGAAUGUCCUCUUCUCAACAAACUCAAGAAGAAAGCUAUGGUGGCCACAUGGGAUGAUAACGAUGAGGAAACAAGUGAUGAUGAUGAGCAACAAGAAAUGACAAAUUUAGCUCUCAUGGCCGUUGGGGAAGAAUCAUGUGAUGAACUUGAUGAGGUAAGUGUUCUUCUUACGUAUGAUGAAUUGCAUGAUGCUUUUAAAGAUUUGCAUGAUGAGCUAAUGAAGAUUGGUAAAAAGAAUAUAUGUCUUAAUAAGAAGAUGAUAGAGCUUAAGAAUGAAAAUGAUUUAUUUAGUACAAAGAUUACAUGCCUAAAAUUAGAAAAUAAAACAUUGCAUGAUAGUAUUGCAUCAUUUAAGAAUUCUAGCACUUCACAUGAGCACUUAGAGUCACACAUGAAUGACUUGAAAAAUGAGAAUGAAAUGCUUAGAAAGAAGAGCAAUGAACUAAAUGAAAUUUUGCUAAAAUUCACAAAUGGGCAAAAGAUGUUGGACAAUUUGCUAAACUCACAAAAAUGUGUAUUUGAAAAAAGUGGCAUACGUUAUAAACCGAACUUGAAACAAAAAUUUUACAAGAGUUAUUUUGUGAAGAAUACAUCUAUUAACAAUCAAAUUGUAUGUCAUUUUUGUAAUCAAGAUGGUCAUAUGAAAAAUAGAUGUGCAGUAAAGAGAAAUGCAUAUUAUGGUGUGAAAUGUGUUUGGGUUCCGAAAGGAACCAUUGUUAACUCUCAAGGACCCAAAAAGGUUUGGGUACCUAAAACUUGAGAUUUUCUCUACAAGGCUUGAAGAAGAAGAAGAAGAAGUGGUACUUGGACAGCGGUUGUUCAAGACACAUGACAAGGAAUUAUUCUUGGUUUUCAAGUUUCACUAAGAUCGAAAAUGGUGGAGAUGUAUCGUUUGGAGAUAAUUCAAAAGGAAAAAUCAUUGGGAUUGGAAAUGUCGGUAAUGUAUCCUCUACUCUCAUUGAAAAUGUGUGUUUGGUUGAAAACUUGAAACACAAUUUGCUUAGUAUUACCAUAAACCAAGCCACGUACGUGAAAGAUCUACUCAAAAGAUUUGGCUAUGAUAAUGGAAUUGCAAAAAGCACUCCUAUGAGUACUACCAUCAAGCUGGACAAAGAUGAGAAAGGUAAGGAAGUUGAUAUCAAGACAUAUCGAGGUAUGAUCGGAUCCUUACUUUACUUGACUGCUAGUAGGCCUGAUAUUAUGUUUAGUGUUUGCUUGUGUGCUAGAUUUCAAUCUUGUCCUAAAGAGUCUCACAUGCUUGCUGUCAAACGCAUUUUUCAAUAUUUAAUUGGCACUAUUAAUCUUGGCCUUUGGUAUCCUAGAGGAACUCAUAUUGAUUUAACUUGUUAUUCGGAUGCCGAUUUUGCUGGGUAUAAGGUUGACAGAAAAAGUACUAGUGGAACAUGUCACUUCCUAGGCCAUUCUCUUGUCUCUUGGUUUAGUAAGAAACAAAACUCGGUUGCGCUUUCAACCACUGAGGCAAAAUAUAUUGCUGCAGGUAGUUGUUGUGCACAAAUUCUUUGGAUGAAACAAACCCUUAGAGACUAUGGUAUUAAGCUUGAUCAAAUACCUAUCUUAUGUGACAAUACUAGUGCUAUAAAUCUUUCCAAGAAUCCCAUUCAACAUUCUAGGACUAAGCAUAUAGAAAUUAGACACCAUUUCCUUAGAGAUCAUGUUAAAAAAGGAGAUGUCGUAAUUAAAUUUGUUUCCACUGAAAAUCAACUUGCGGAUAUCUUUACAAAACCUCUUAGCGAAGAGCAUUUUAUAAAGAUAAGACAUGAGCUUGGAAUGAUGAAUGUUGAAUCUUAAUUCAUGUUUUACUACAUGACUUGAUAUGUUUGUUAUCAUAUUAAUUUAUGCUUCAUGAAUUAGAUAGCUUGAUAUGCUUGUGAAUUUAUGAUUUUAUGAUUUUGUGUUUCAUGCAUUAAAUGGCUUUUUGAAAAGUUUUAAAUCUCAAAAUGAUUUAAAAUUAAUCAAUUUUUAAGGCUGGAAAUAAAAUGGUGUGUGUAGUAUAAGUAUAAGAGCUAGCAAAUAUUCCCUUUCCAUUCAUCAGGAAAAAUAUUUUUUUUUUAUUGAUUUCUCUCGGGACAAAUUCCGGAUAACCGAAUUUUCAAUCCACAAAACCGGAUUAGCUUUGGUUGCUCUCGGGACAACAUUCGGAUAACCGGAUUUUCAAUCCGGAAAACCGGAUUUGCUAAGCCACCUCUCUACCUCAUAACCGAUCUACGGGUUCUUCAAUCCGGAAAACUGAAUUUGGAAGGGGACUCACUGCCUCACAACUGGUCUACCGGUUAGCAAAACCGAAAAACCGAAUUCGCAUGCAUGCUUGCUGGAACAAAACCGGAUUUCCAAUUCAAGACAAUCCGGAAAGCCGGAUUUUUGGAAGCUCUCGAAAUUGGCCAGCCGGUUAAGAAAACCGGCAAGCCGAAUUCCCUCAUGUUGCUCUCGGGUUCAUAUCCGGUCAACCGAAUUUCAAAUCCGGCAGAACGUUUUCGCUUGUUUGGUUUCUAUCCAAUAACCGGCUUGCCGGUUAGGAAAUCCGGCAAGCCGGAUUCGUGAGCCUUUUGUGCUGUUCAUCCUCUUCCUCAUGCAUUCGGCAAUCCGGCUCUUCCUCUCUCUAAAAAUCGUUUGCUUCUCUCUCAUUUUUCAUUCCAAAAUCCACCAUUUCUACUCGGUUUUGAUGCAAAUCAAUCCAUAAAUCUUGAUCCCCAUCCGUUCUUAUACCUAAAAUCACACUCAAAACUCAUUUUCAACCUCCAAAUCCCUAGAUCCGAAUUUCAACCUAGGUUUUGGGCCGAUUUUUCUCUCUCUAGAUUUCUCACUCUCAAUCCGUUUUUGAUCCAAUUUGUUUCUCCAAAUCACUUUCAAUCUUCAUCAUCUUCAUUCUCUUUGGUGUUUUUAUCUUCAAAUCCAUCAAAAUCAAAAUGUCAAGCUCUCGGUCGGUUCGAAGAAAAGGCAAAGAACCGGUUCAACAAACCACCCGACCACGAGAAGCAAGGGGCACCUCAAAUCAAUCCACUUUUGAGUCCAUUCAUUUUCAGAACAAGCAACAGUUGAUCAAACGGUUUCAACAAAACUUUCGGACUCGUGAGGUACUCAACACUUUCUUUGUUUUACCGGAUGUUAUGCAUACUCUCAAGAUUAGUUAUAGAAAUAUAUUUCAAUUGUUGGGAGAUGUUGGUUGGAUUGAUGCAUUGUUGAUUGAGGAGAAUGUGUAUCCUGACUUGGUGAAAGUAUUUUACUCGAAUAUGAAUUGUUCUGCGGAGAAAGAGAAUCGAGUAAUCACCACAGUUGGAGGAGUUUUAAUUGAAUUUGAUGAUUCGGAGUUGAACUCCAUCCUAGGCUCUUUCGAUGAUGGCCUGGACAUUUUUUCUCUUAGGAAACCUCCUGAUAUUGAUGAGUAUGUUCAUGUUGAUGUCAUUCGUAAUAUUUGUCGGCGUAGUGAUCUUUCUGUUGAAGACUGUACCAUUCAUUUUCGUACUUAGUGUCUUUGUCUUCAAACUCGUAUUUUGCUUCGUAUCAUCCAGUCCAUUGUACUUCCUAGAUCAGGACAUUUGGAUGAGGUUUCUCACAUGGAUGUCGCCAUGAUUGACUGUAUUCUUAGAGGUUGCCCGGUUAACUUGGGCUAUUUCAUCAUCCGCACCAUGUUGAGCAUUCCUGCCUUGAUUACCCGCUCUCUUCCUUAUGGUCACUUCAUUACCCGAAUUCUUAAAUUCUUUGAAGUGCCAAUUUUAGAAUCAUCUUGUAGGCCGUCCAAGAGUAUCGGGGAUGAGGUUAUUAUUGGGUUAAGGCUUUGAGUAUAAGGAUGGCACUUGGGUCAAAUACAGCGAUAACAAGUUUACCUUUCUAGUCCCAAGUGAUGAUCGGCGACUUAAUGCUGUGAUUCCAGCCGAUUAGCUUCCAGUUUUCUCACUCUCAUUUCGAGGGCAGCGUAGACGCCGAGUUUCUUCCACGGUUGCUUCAGCUCCUAGUGCAUCUGCAUCCGCUUCAUCACCUCCACAUCCUCCUACCUCUGAAGAGGUCACUCUUCAGCAGAUUAUGGAUGAAGUGCGGACACUCUCUGUGCGGCAUACUGAGUUUCAGCAGCGGCAGACUGAGUUUCAGCAACAGCAGCAGCAGCUUAUUCAUGGAUAGCGCCUCCUCUUCGGGCACUUCGGCAUUCCAUAUCCGUUUCCACCUCCAUCACCUCCAUCCUCACCACCUGAGUAGUAUCUUAUGCUUGUACUUGGACACAUCUACAUUUCAUUUACUGAAUUGUGUGUUCGUUUAUUUUUGAAUCUAUGGAUGGUUAUUAUGCUUUUCGGUUUAUGUCUUUGUUUUGGAUGAUAUAGAUUUGUUGUGACUAUUUAUGUUGGAUGUUAUGGAUUUGUUUUGAUUGAUCAUUAUGAAGUAUAUGGAUUUUCUUAUGCUUAUGGAUAUUUUUUUUUACUAAUGUGCUUAUGUUGCGAUUUUGAUGAUUGAUAGGGGGAGCCUUUAUUCUUUUUUAUGAUGAAGGGGGAGAAUGAUUUAAUAUGUGUUAUGAAAAUAUGCAUGUAUCUGGGGGGAGCAUGUAUGCAGGGGGAGUUUUUGUUAAAUAAUUUUCAAAUCAUUUUUUAACUUGCAUUGAUUAAGGGGGAGCUUUUCAUAACUAGAUUAAAUUUGAAUGUGCUUUGUCAUCAUCAAAAAGGGGGAGAUUGUUAGCCUAUCUGGCUAUAAAUAUUGAUUUUGAUGAUAACAAACCACAUGUAUUUAUUAAGCAAAGAUUUAUGAAUUGUGCUUUUAUAAUAAGAAAAUGAUGUUAUGGAAUUAAAGCAUUUUGGACUAAAAUGAAAGUAAUUUCAAAAUCUUUGAUAGUGUUUUAAAUUUCAGAUUUGGACCUAUUUGAAACUAUUUAAAUGUUUUUGGGCCAUUCUAAAAUUUCAAAAAGUUUAGGUAAAAUCAUAAUUUCAAAAAGUUUUGGGAUUAAUGAAGCAUUACUUAGAAAUUCUAAAAUUGGACCUAUUUGUAAAUUUUUAUAACGUUUUGGGCCAUACUAUAAUUUUAUAAAGUUUGGGGUCAAACUGAAAAAUUGGAUACGGGGCAGUAAGCAUCCAGAACGCAAACAGCUUACCAGAUUUCGUAACCGGCAAGCCGGAUAGGCAAAAUUCAAAAUUUUACCUUAACGGUAACAUAAAUUCAGCUUACCGGAUUCCAUAAACGGCAAACCGGAUACGCCCAGAAUGUGAGUAACGGCUAGUUUUUGAGCUCAAACUAUAAGAACUCAAAUCCAACUCAUUUUAAAGCUCUCCCAACAAGCAAAAAUAAAAAGCACACGUGGUAUCUUGAGCCUUCAAACUUACGAAAUACAAAUAUUGAAUCAUUUCUUGUUCUUUAUUUUUGAAUAUCUACUCAUUAAGUGAGUUUCAUUGUAACCUUCAUUUAUUCAUCUCAAUUGUAAGAGUUUGAGUGUGUGUGACACUUGAGUGAAGAGAUUAGGAGAUAAUCUCUUUGUUGUAAAGGUUUAUUGACAUCUCGAAGUCAAUUGUAAUCGUUGAAGCCUUGGAAAGGCUUGGAUAGUGAAAUCCUCAAACUUGGAUCGCUUGGAGGCGUGGACGUAGGCGGGGAUUGCCGAACCACGUAAAAAUUCGUGUGUUUGUUUCUCUUCUCCCUUACUCUUUAAUUAUUGUGCUUUUCUUGAACUUAUUGCUUUCAAUUUUUAUUAAGACAUUAGAUUGCUUGUUGUGUGGAUUUGCUAGGAUAAUUUUUAAAUUUCCAAUUCACCCCCCCUCUUGGGUUGCACACUUAUAUUUCAGCAGGAAAAUGCAAUCUAUGUGAUUUUCUCAUUUGACAUUCUUCACAAAUGAUUGCAAGUGCUUGCUGUUUUACAUUGUGAGAAAUAUUAAUAGACUUGACUUGUUUGAGCAAAUGCAUUAGUGUAUGAAAAUUGGGAUGGCCAAAUCGUUUAUGCAAAAGAAGAAUUUUAUUCAUUGCUGAAUUGCAUGAAUCAACAACAGUAUGAUGACAUAUCUUAUUAUCUGAGACUUUGCUCUAGACAAUGGAUUGACAAUUAAAACUGGAAUGACAAACAAAUAACAUUCACAAAGGCCUAUUAGAAAUAGUUUGACAUAGAAAAGAAGAAGGAAGUGUUUGUGCAGAUGGCUUUAAAAGCAGCUGGUAUAAUCCUUUCUCAGCAAGACCUUGCAGAGGAACUUGCCCCCCUCAGUGUAUCCUUCACAUAACAAACAUCACCAGAAAAUUCAACUGUCAAGUUAUUAUCAGUAGUGAGUUUGGACAUGCUUAGCAAGUUUUUAGUAAUUGAAGGAACCAGUAGGAUAUCUUUGAGUGCUAUUUGUGUAUGAAUAGAUUUGGCAUUUGAAUGUGAGUGUUUAUAACAAAGGAAAGCAUCACCAAUAUGAGUAAUAACCAAACCUUGACCAUUGCCAAUGAUGAGCUGAUCUGACCCUUUGAACUCCUCUCUGACAUGCAUGUUAGACAUGUUGUUGGUCAAGGGAUGAGUGGCACCACUAUCGAGAUACCAUCCAUCAUCAGCUGGUCCUUCAAAAUUAGCAACAUAUGCAGCCCCAGGUGUUGUGAAAUCUUUUGAUGCAUAAGGUGAGAUGGAGUUUGGAGAGUAAUACAUUGGUUGUUGACAGUUCAUAUCAAAAGAUUCUUCAAAUAGACAUGUAGAAAAUUGUGGUUCAAAAGCAGUCAAGUAGGUAGACUUAGCAGCUCUACCUCUACCAAAAGGUUUUGGUGAAGGUACAAAAUCAUCUCCAUACCUAUGCCAACAAGCAUCAGCAGUAUGCCCUUGCUUGUGAUAAAUUUGACAUACAGGUAGUGUGCCGUCAGAAUUUCCAGUAUGCAUAGAAGGAUUUGCAGGCAUUGAUCUGUGAGUAUGCAUUGGUUGUCCUCUUCCAUAACUACUGAAAUUACUAUUUCCUGAAGGAAAACCUCUAGGAUAAUGUUGAAAGAACAUGCCUCUACCAAAAUUUGGUCUUCUACCACCACCAAAAUUACUAUUAACACCACGAUAUCCACCUCUAUAUGAACCUCUUUUACUAUUACCCCUAAUCUGAGAGUAAUUUGCAUUCAUCAUGCUAUAAUUAGCGUUGAACACAUUUGUAGCAUUCUGAGUUUGUUUUAAUCUAGCUUCAUGUGUAAGGAGUAAGGCAUAUGCUUCAUCAUAAUCCAUUUUGUUUGCAGUGAUAAUAGAUGCUAAAUCCAAAUAACCAGAUCCUAAGCCAUCCAGACUCAUUAAUAGAUCCUUUCCAGUUAUAGAGUCACCAGCACAUGCAAGUUUGUCAGCAAGCAUUUUCAUUUUGCCACAGUAUUCUUCAAUAGACAUUGAAUCUUUUCUUAAAAUAUUCAUCUCAUAUCUAAGUUGCAUCACUCUAGCCUCGAAUUGCACUCCAAAUUGUUUUCAAUAGAGGUCCAAACAGCAAACGAAGUGUCGCAACCUAAAACAGAACUUAAAAUACCUUCACUGAUUGUAGAUAACAGCCAUCCAAGAAGGAUCUGAUCUUGAGUACACCAGUUGAUGUAGGCUGGAUUCUCAACUCUUUUUUCUGAAAUUUCAUAUGAUGUUGAAGCUGGAUCAGGAAGAUACUAAUCUAGUACAGCUCGAUUUCCAAAAAUAUAAUGUUCAAGUCGAUUGUCUCUUAUGGAUGUGAGAACUUGUUUGCGCCAUAGUAAAUAAUUGGAUCGAUCAUGCUUUACAGGAGUAGUGAAUGUGAAUGAAACAUUUAAAGGUUGAUUUUGAUUAAGAAAAUUUGGAUUUGAGUGAGUUGUACUUGAGUUCGCCAUGAUUAUUGCUCUGAUACCAUAAAGGAAAUAUGAAACGAAGUGUUUGGCUUAAAAGAAAAUAACAGAGAAAAUAAUCUUCUAAUUUUGCAGAUCUUUUAUUUCUUAUUAAGAAUGAUUACAUCACUUCUAUUUAUACUAAAUAAUCAAUAACUAACUAAGAAUUAAAUCCAGCUAAUCAUUUGUUCAGUAUACACUGUGAGUAAAAACAAACUUUAACUAACUGUGCUGAGCUGGCAGUCUGGACUGUUGCGUUUCUUAACAGCUUCUGAUAGUUUGACUUGAGUUGACCCAAGCUAUGUUUUCUCAUGCUCUGCAUAAUGUACUUCCUUAACAAGUUGAGAUUAUUUUCAGAGGAAAAGUAUGUAAUUUCACUGAAAUAUUUUUACUUUAUUUUCCAAUAUUGACUGCUAGAAACUGAGAAGAAUGCUAAAUCGCCGAAAAUUUUACGACUAUAAGCAUUUUUUCUAUUGACUGGCAGAUCUAAAGGGGCCUAAAUGAUAUGAGAUACGUUAAGCUUAAUUUACUCUAAGAGAAUUGCUACGACAUCUUGAUUUGUCAUCAUGAGUUUAUUUUGUGAGAUGUGAAAUACAAAGCUCAGUUAGGAAUUGGGUUAUAUUUGUUGACUAUUUCUCACAUCGGUUGUGUACGGCUGGUUAAUAUGCUGUCAUGGCAAGUUAUUUUAAAAAGUAUUAAGUUUUGCAGCUUUAUCUGUUUAUAUUCAGAUGUAUCUCUAUAUGCUUGAAUGUUGUCUUCCAAUUAAUAUCACUAGUAUUCUUUUUAAAAAAAAAAAAAAUUGAAUUUAAUCUGUACUGUUUGCCCUAUGCUGAAUUGCUGAUGUCUUCAUAUUUUAAUGACAGGAAGAAGGAAACCACGUACCAAUUAAAUUCAACAUUCUAGUCUAAUCUCUGGAAGCAUUUAAUAAAUGGGUGAGUUUUUUUGCAAGGAGGUUCCCUUCUGUAUGUAUUCUGUAGGGCCAUGCAAUUAAAAGGUUUGAUGUGUUGGGAAAAUAUGCUUUUUAAAAGCAUAUGUAUUUAUUUAAUUGUAAUAAAAAUUUUUUCUGAUUAAUAAAAUUAAUGAGGUAUUUUAUUCAAAUAUCUUAAUUGCAUUAAUAUUUUGAUCAAAGUCCAUUUGAUCAUAUUAUAUGUAUUUAUGUGAUCACCAUGUGGAUUCACAAAAGACAUAAAUAGAAGUUAUCUUAUGAUUAAAUAAAUUUAGUUCGCAGUUGAUAAAUAAAAUUGGGCACUUUAUUUAGGUAUAGACUGUAAUGAAUUCAUUAAAUGAUUUAUCUUAAUCAUGUAUGAAUUUAUUGAUAUAGUACGACUACAUUGAACAAGAUCACAUAUGAGAUUUAAUUAACUUUGUAAUAACUAUUAGACUUAUUAAAUCUCAUAGGCAUUGAUUUUACUGUAAUCUUAAUAUUGAGUUAAUUAUAAUUUCAUGAUUGUAAUUGUUAUUCCAUUUGAGUUACCAAUGGGCACGACACAUACUUGUGGUCAAGAUUACCCGGUAUCUUGGUGAGAGCAAUUAUGAGUAUUGGAGUUAUGGAUUAACAAUAUAGAAUUUGUACAACACAUCUCUUGAUGGGUUUUCGGCACUUGAUCAUAGAAUUCUCUGGCCAGAGUGUGUCAAACAUAUUUAGUAUGUUGAAAAUGAUCAUUAGAGAAAACCAGUAAGUAUCAAGGAACAAGAUGUAAUUAAAUUGAUUGGACAGUUGAGAUAUCGAUUUAAUUAAUGAUGUGGUACAAAGGAUUGUGCAGUAAAGAAAUCAAUGUGGCUUGGGAUGAAUUAUUAUUCGAGCAUACAAUUAUGGAGGUCAAUUCCAAUAUUUUAGUGGAGUAGAUUUAGAAUUAAAUAAUUAGGCUAGUUUAAUUACAGGCCUAAUUGUUAUAGCCACUAUUGUAUGUUCCCAAAUAAUCCUCAGGUUAGCUCAUUUAAUUGACUGCACCACUACUGGAUUAAUAAGCACGAUAACUAGCUAUUUGGGUCAAAAGCCUAAAUAUAUCAUUUAGUGGGAGGCUUCAUUUAAUUAGCUUGUGUGUAAGGGGCCUUAUGUUAUUUUACAAGGUGGGUCCAGGCUUAUUUUCUCUAAAAGAAAGAGAGAGCAGCCACUUUAUACAGAUCAGAGAAAAAUAUUUUUCUCUCGAUUGUUGAAAGAAAAAUUUUCUCGUGCUAGUUGCUUUGGUAGUAAUAAAGGCGCCCACACGUCAAGUGCAGAUCAAACUUGAGUUAUAACCUGGAAGAUCAUUGGUGACAGUUCAUGAUCUAACAAGCGUGGUGGUGACGGAUCGUGAUCUAACAGGCGUGGUGGUGACGGAUCGUGAUCUGGGAGCCUAAAUCACUUCAGCGGAAAAAACUAAAUCGGAUUUUCAAGGUACGAUUUCUAGAUUACAAAUUCUUAUAUAUUAUAUGAGAGCGAUCUUAAAAAGGUUUUAUAAAAAUUAAAAAAACUGAUUUUUCUCCAACAUGAUGAUCAUAAUUCACUGAUUGACUGUCCUUCAAAAUUUUCAAACCCGAGUUAUACAUUUCAUUAUCUUAAACUUGAACAUAUGAGAUUGCAUUGGUUUUGUAGCUACUUCCAAGUUUGUUUCUGAGCACCUUUGAUCACAUUUUAUGUAUAAAAUUAAUGAUUCUAAACUUGUAGUGGAGCUUUGCCAAGGGAACCAAUGCCUUCUGGUAUUACUGCAAGGCUUCCAACCUUGGAGGACCUUGAGGCCUAUGCCAUUGGACAAUGGGAGGUGUGAACUUUACCUGUUCUGUUCUUUCAUGUUUAAGGAUUUUUCAUGCCAAUCAUGCUGACCUCAAGGAGAUGCGAUGACAUAAUUAAUUACAAUUGGUGUAUCAAUUAAGCUAUUAUCUUAAAUCUUCCAAUUCUAUUAAUCCAGUGUUUCUUGCUGCAACUUAUUAGUUCAGCCCAAGCUGAAAGGCCGACAAAUUUCAGCUCUUCCACGAUGAAGGUUUUCCAGCGUGGUCUUUUGAUUCAAAGGUAGGAUUUUCUGUCACAUUUGUAAUCGUCAGUUUCUUGAUGCAAACAGUUGAGAAUCUUGGUUCUUGCAUUUGGUAUCAUGUUAUUUAUGUGCCUUAUUUGCAGGGAAAAAGAAGCCCCAAGGUUAACAGAGAGUGGUUUUCAAUUUUUGGAAUGUGUGUUAAUCACAAGAUUUUGGAUUCCCUCUUGUUUGAGCUAGUGGAACUUAUUUUUCAUAUGUUUAAAUUUGCAGCUGAUGGAUACUAAUGCACAGCUCUGGUACAUCGUUAGAGAAUAUAUCUCCAAUUCCCAGGUGUGGCUUUUGAUAUUCUGUUCAGUGGUUUCUCUGCAUCAAAAUUUCUGCGGGUCCCUGUCUUUGAUUCACUGGUAUAUUCUCUCUUUGUAAAAACUGAACUGAGUGAAGUAUUCAAAGGGCAAAAUAACGGAUUGACUUAUCUUUAAAUCUCAUUACGUUACCCAAUUGUUCAUUUUAGAACUUUGAUUUUUAUAUUAUGCACAUGUUUAUGCGAUUAAAGAGUUCAUAUUUAGAUGUAUGUAUAUCUUUUUACUUUUAGAAUAUUAAUGCCUUCUUUGAUUUUUAUUCUAUUUCUCAAUAGAUUUGUAUACUUACUGCUAACACAAAGUAGAACUAAAAGAUUUUCUUCUUUGGUAUUUCAUUGGACUAUUUAAUAGAGAUAAAAGUUCACCGGCGAUCUAAUUAUAUGUAGGAUAGCACGACUCUAUGCUUGCUUAUGGUCUACAAUACCAAUAAUAUAUCAUAUAGCUUUUCUCAUUUUCUUGCAGGAACGAGGCAUAAAUCAAGCAGAUCUGAUUUCUUUUCUUCUGGAGCUUAGUUUCCAUGUCGCUGGGGAGGUAGCACAUAUACGUUCUAUAGCUAAACACAUUAUUAUUCAGUUAUUCCAUUUAUUCAAGAAGUAUGAUAGAUUUCUGUUUGGCUAAUACUUUUGGUUUUAACAGAAUUUCAAACAUUUUUUGGGGUAUCAUUUUACAUUGAAUAUUGUCUUUUGUUCUCUUAUUCAUUUUUGUAAGCUUAUGUCUAUCUUAGUAUUGCUUUUAACUUCUCAGCAUCUUGAGGUCCUUAAUUUUUAUGUCAAGGAAUUCUCAAAGUGGUUUGAGAUCUCACUUUAUUGCUAUACUCUUUGCUUCUUCAUUUAUAGGCAUAUAAUUUAAAUACACUGAGUGAAAUACAAAGAAGUAUGAUCAAAGACUUUGCAGACUUGGGAUUGGUCAAACUUCAGCAGGUUGUACUAGUCUGUGCUACAGAAAAUGCUGGUUAUCUCUGUUAAUUUUGUAUUAUUUUGCUGGAGUUCUCAUAUGUUUUCCAUGGCUAUUCAGGGCAGGAAAGAAAGUUGGUUUAUACCUACUAAAUUAGCUACCAAUCUUUCAAUGAGCUUAACUGAUUCAUCAGCACGGAAAGAGGUAUGCUGUUUGAGAAAUCAUUGACUCUCACUCUGAAUAACGAAUAUGAAAGAAUAAGUAAAAUAAUUGUAAUUCCCCUUAAUGUCGAAUGUUGCAGACAAUUGUGUGAUUGAAUUUUUUUAAAAAUUAUAAUUUUGUUUUGCAAACUAUUAUUGUCAGAAACCAAAAUGAGGUCUCAUUUUUACAUUCUCUAAUUACAUAGCUCAUUCUACAUUUUCUUCUCUUUAGGGGUUUGUUGUAGUGGAAACAAACUUCAGGAUGUAUGCUUAUUCAACAUCUAAGCUACACUGUGAAAUUUUGCGUCUUUUCUCAAAGUAAGCCAGCCAUCUGCUUGAUAAAUUGUUUCUCUUCUAGGUUAAAGUUCUGAAUUACAUUUUGUUAUUGAACUACAUUGGUCAGUCCUAAAACCUUUUGUUUAAUAUUUUGCCAAUGUGCAGGAUAGAGUAUCAACUUCCAAACCUUAUAGUUGGGGCAAUAACGAAAGAAAGUUUGUAUAAUGCUUUUGAGAAUGGCCUUACAGCUGAGCAAGUGAGUUUGGUAUUUAGUUGAUCUGGUGAUCUGUUUUUCCAUAAAAAAAUGUCCGAUGUGGUCAAUUACCUGCAUAUAUGCAAGUAACUUCUGACAUUCUUAAUAAUUUGCCCCUUUACACCUCUUUUUCGGUCCCAGCCAUCCUCAUCUCAACAUACUUUUACAUCAACCUAGAUUAUUAUUAUUAUUAUUUUUUGGGUGGAGAAGGUUUUUUGCGAGCUUACAUACUGUUUCUGAUAUUCUUGUAGCCGAAAUAGUUUUUUCUUUCAAAGUCGCCUUUUUUUUUUCAAUUACUUUUGCAGUCAUUCUAACUCCUCUAACUCCAUGAUCGUUUGUUUUGCAGAUAAUUAGUUUUCUUCAGCAAAAUGCACAUCCUCGGGUUGCUGACAGAAUACCGUCUGUACCAGAAAAUGUUUCUGAUCAGGUCAUAAUUCUUUCCUGCGUUCAGAUGUAUUGCACAUAUCAUUGCUUCCUGACCUUCCAUAGCAAAAUUCUCGAUAUUUUCUACAUAGUACAUAUCAAUUAACAAAGAUGAUUAUUUAUAUUCUAAUAUUUCAAAUUCUGAUGUUUCUUUGACAGAUAAGAUUGUGGGAAUCCGAUUUGAAUAGGGUUGAAAUGACCCCUGCGCAUUAUUAUGACGAGUUUCCCUCGAGGGUAAUCUGCGCAUUUCAAUUGGAUUGAUUUCUCAUCUCACAUCUUUCAGGGAUUACAUUUUAAAGUUACGUCAUAAAUCUUGUAGGAUGUCUUUGAGGCUGCUUGUGAUUAUGCAAGAGAUCGAAGUAGUUUGCUCAGGGAGGAUUCAAAGAAAAUUCGUCUAGUUGUUAAUGCAUAAAUUCAUAUGCACAUGAGAGAGUUCCUUCGGGGUCAAAACAAGUAGAAUGAUAUGUUUUCUUGGCCAUGCAGAACUUACUGAACAAAAAGGAUGACAAGCCAUGUGUCGCUUGGGAUUGUUGCAUGGUAGGGUUGUCAUAAUUUGGGUUUUUCUUGCUCCGUUCGUAUCUGCAUUAAAGCUACCAGAGGCAUUUUCCAGAUUCAUUGCAAACCAGAUGGGGAAAAAAGAAAUCAAAGAUUCUUUCUACCUAAAAUAAACGGAGGUAUGGUUGAAGUCUACGAAAAGUCAUCCAAUCCCUACAUUGAGGGAUGAUGUACACUAGAAAAUACGAAAGGAGGAAAUUGUUGUGUUAUCUUCUCUGUAUAUUUGAUCUUUAAUUUAACUUAAUAUGACUGAAAUAUGAAUGAUGGAAGUUUAUAGAAUUUUGAUGGCAAGUUUUUUGUAAAAACUUGUAUCAAUUUGAUCAAAAUUCAAUUUUGUAAGUCCGCCUUUAUUUAUUUUUUUUUUUUUGACUUGCACAGCUUUGUCGAGUGCCCAUUUUGUGGCUUGUAGACAAACUGACAAGUGGAUCUAAUUAUGAACAUUUGCUGUUUGCAUUCGAAAAUGUAGCGCAAUAAUUUUUCCUAGUAAAAGAUAGAAAUGAAUGUAAAAACGUUGCUGUCCUUAUCAUAACUCUUCAUUGUAUUAAAGUAUUAUAAUAUUAUAUUUGUCAAUUGCACCGCAUAGUAUUAUAAUGUGGUCAACACAAAAUCUUAUGUGAUAGAAUCUGCAUAAACUAAAUCUGAGGGGACGCGGGUUUUAUAUCUAUUUUGAGACAAAAGAUUAUUUUUUGCCUUUCGUUCUCACCCUCAUUCUUAGAUUGGCUCAAGCAGUUCUUUCCGUCAUAAACUAAAUCUCAUGUGUUAUUUAUAAUUAUGUUAAUUAUUGUUGUUGUUAUUAUUGUUGUUUAAUAAUAAUAAUAAUAAUAUUAUUAUUAUUAUUAUGGCAUUAUUAAAAUAAUAAUAAUUAUUAUUAUUAUUAUUACCAAAUGAUAAUAAUUAACGAAGGGUAUUUUAAUAAAUUGAAAUAAUUCAUUCAAAUUUAAUGACAAAGUAAACACAAUAAUAGAAAUGAAGUUCAUUUCAAUUCCGAUUCCUACUAUUCAAGUAAAUAAUUUAUUUUGAUUCUUAUUCGUGAUUCUCAUCCCAACCCAAUCCUGAUUCCAGAGAUUAAUAAACGAACCAUAAAUUUUUUGGUGAAUGAAAUGGGGAAUGAAGGUAAGAUUUUUAAUGGGGUGGAGAAGGGGGCAGGUCUCUCUACCCCCACCACACCCCACCUCACCUCACCGCCAUUCCUAGUGUUAAAUGUCUAAAUUACUCUUAUGAUAUCGUUGAUGCUCAUCAUUAUUAUCCGCACCUUAAAGUUGAAGCUAGGGAUAAUUGGUGCAAGUAAUUUUUUGAACGGAGCUUGUUCACCUUAAAUUUGAAUGAUUUGGCUUGUUACUUUGUUACAAGUGGCUUUGCUUUUGAUAUAUCUAAAGACUUAUAAGGAAUUGAAGUAGUUGAGUAAUUUCUCAAUUAAGGGUAUGAUGGUUUCUUCAACCGCCAAGUUUCGACUUUCUUUUUCCGUCUUACUCUUCAAGAAUAAGCAGUCACCUGUUUUCUUGUUCAUUUCCAAUUAUACAUUUUUUAUUAAAAAUUAACUUUGGAAUUUUCAGGUUGAUUUGGUUUCUCAUAUCGUGGACAAAGAGUACGUUUACUUUUUUUUUUUAAUUGUUCGCUUUUGACUGCGUUGUCAAGACUUAUUAUUAUAAUUACCAAGUAUUGGAAGCUAAAAUGCGUGCAAGUCGGAAAUUUUGCUGCCGAAAAUCAGUGUAAAUUAAAAGACUUUGAUGAGAAACUAGUGAGUGCCCGUGAGCAAACCUUGUAAAUUGACUGGUGCUAAUCAUGACUUAAGGGCAAUUGUAAUUUGUAACCCCAAAUGCAGCAUGUUAUGUGGACAUAUUGAGGAAAGAAGCAUGAAAUAUUGGGUAAUGUUUUUAAUUCUUACUUGGUAUAUACUACUGAUUAAUCAAAGAGUCAUCAAAUUAUAAGUACCUUAAAGAAUAAACAGCAUAGAAGUAGCAUUUUGCCUUUCCCUUAUGAGUGGAAUGGAUAGGUCAAAACCCUAGUGAGAUUUUCCUUCCUGAUGACCAAUGAUUUCCAAUGCUUUUGUUUGUGGGGAUUUUUAUUUUCUUGGCUCAAUUGCUUAUUGCGUUAAUUUUUCCAAUUAAAUCAAUUUUAAAGAUAAAAGUUUAUUUGGGUAGUUACUUUUAAACCCCACCGAAAAAACUUGAACUCCAUGGUCGUCCUUUAUGAGAUGGUAGCUAGCAGGGAGAGUUCAGAAAAUAGAAGAAAUUCCGUAGAUAUGAUGAAGCUCAUAGGUUCACACCACGAGGUUUUAACAUUCCAGAAUGCAGCCAGCGGCAUAUGGCUCGAAUUUUAUUAUGCUUGAUUUCCAAUUUGACUGUCUUGAUACCAGGCUGAGAAUCAGUACCAUGCAGACACUAAUCAUGAGACCUUUAAGUUACUUCAGGUUACUCAUCUUUUUCUUUCAUGGUCUGUCUCCUUCUGUGUCUUUUUACUGGGAAAGUUACUUAAUACCGUUUUAUUGAUUUUCUUCUCAAAUUGAUAUAAUGAACGAGAGCAUGAUUAUAAAGGCAAUCAAGAAUACAUGUUUUUAAGGUACUUCAUUCCUUCGUUCCAUAUUAUAUUCUAUAUAUUAGCCAGGUCAUUCAAGACGUUUUAAAUAAAACAGAGUAUGAAAAAGUAGGAGAGGGAGCCCGACUUUAGGCUUCUAUAUGUAUAUUCUCCUUGCACUUCCAGGUGUUGACAAAGACUAUAAUUUUAUUGUUCUGUUUAUCUAAAACAGGAAGUCUAUAGUUUUAAGUCUCUUGGGAUUUGAUGCAUUCUUGUACUUUAUUCUCUUUCAAACUUGGUGCAUUAUGCUUGGUUUUUCAGUGACAACUGACUUCUACAUCUUAUACCUUUUUGUAUUUCCUUUCAGCUUACAAAGGUGAAAGCCUAUUUACGUUUGCAAGAGAUGUGACUCUCAAAUCAAUAAAAGCUAUGAUGCAACCUCCAAUUCCAAAAGACCUAGAUCCUUGGGGAUUCAGGCUUUUAAGGGCAUCGUGGACAAAGAGUACGUGUACUUAUAUUAUAAUUUUUUUCUUCUAAAUUUUCAUUUUUCGAAAAAGGUCAUGGUUGCUUGAACUGUCUAUUAGAAGCUUGCUGGAAGAAGCCUAGGCAGUGACCUUCAAUUGGCAAUGUUCCUCUUGUUGCUUUUCAAAUUGCCGUGUCUUUACAAGAAUUCAUAGUCUCUAUUUAUAGUUCCGGCCAUUUGAAUUCAGUUAGUGCAGAUGCUUUGUUCUGUUAUUCUCUUCUGCUCUACUGUUCUCUUCUGGUUUUCGAUUCCAUUUUGAUCUUCUGAAGUUACGGUUUUAGUUUGAAUUGACUUCUAGAACUAAUUAAUAAUAAUUCACCAAAUUGUUUUGUUGCUAAUAGAGGAACACCAUUACAGGGGUACUGUCUGGUUGUUCCUAUGACCGCCCGCCGAGCUGCUUAAGGAUUUUCCCUGAUAUUACUCCCCGAAAGUUUUUAAACUUUUGAUGAAAAUAGUCAAAAGUUUUAAACUAAAUUGGCUGAGCUAAAGUUGCAUUUAGUCUUUCUUAUCACCAUUUAUAAAAAAAAAAUUGUUUUGAGAUUUUAAAUAUAUAUACAAGAUACAUGGAAUUAUCAUAUAUUUAAAAAUUUCUGUUUGGAACUCAUGACUUCACUUAAGGAAUUUUUAUUAUUUGAAGAAUUUGAGAUUUUUCAUUGAAUGAAUUUUAUGAUUUUUAUGCAUAAGAACUCAAGAUUUUAAUUGACAAAAUUUUAGAAUUUUCCAUACUGACAUCUCGUGCUCCACAUUGAUUAGUUGUGAAUAAGGCUUGAGGAAUAACAUACCCUCAAGAGACUAUGCCUGAAUAGUAGUAUUAACAUUCUUGUACAAAUAACAGUAGUUGUAUUAGAACAAAAAGUUAAUCAUAUCCCUCAUGUCAUUGACUACGCUAGUAUGACAUUGAAUUAUGCACAAUUGAAUUACUCAACUACUAAAAAAGAAAUAGUAAUAGUAAUGUUUGCAUUAGAAAAGUUUCUUAUAGGAUAUAAAAUAAUUGUGCUCACAGAUUAUAUUACUCUUAAAUAUCUUUUGAUAAAGAAAGAUGUAAAGGUCAGACUAAUUCGUUGGGUGUUAUUUUUGUAGGAAUUUGACCUUGAGUUCAAAGAUAAGAAAGGCAUAAAAGAUGUGAUGGCAGAUCAUCUUUCUCGCCUCAAUUUUGACACAAUUCGAGAACGAUUAUGAUUCAAUGAAUCAUUUCCAGAUGAGCAACUAAUGAGUGUGGAGGUACUAUCAAUGGCAUGCUGAUAUAGUUAAUUAUAUUGUGACAAGGCAACUUUCAGAGAAUUAGACUAAGCAAGAUAAGGCCAAUUUUUUUUUGUGGAAACAAAGAAUUUCUUUUCUGAUGAUCUUUAUCCAUUCAAAUAUUACGUGGAUCAUAUUAUCAGACGAUGCAUCCCAGAGAGAAAAUUUCAAAACAUCCUUUCAUUAUAUUAGGAACAAGCUUGUAGAGACAAUUUUAGUGCUAGAAAGACGGCUGCUAAAGUUUUACAACAUGGUUUUUAUGCCCAACUUUAUUUUGAGAUGCUUAGACUUCUAUUCUUCAUGUCAUUGGUGCCAAAGCAUAAGAAGUAUUUCACGAAGGAGCAUGAUGCCACUAAACCUUACUAUGGCAGCUGAGUUUUUUAAUAUGUGGGGCAUCGAUUUUAUAGGACUAUUUCCUCUUUCUUUUGGCCAUCAAUACAUAUUAGUUUAUGUCAACUAUGUAUCAAAGUAGGUAGAAGCAAUUCUGUGCAGAACCAAUGAUCACAAAGUAGUGAUUGGAUUUUUGAAGAGCAAUAUUGUUUCGUACUUUAGACUCCCUCGACCAAUAAUCAAUGAUUGUGAUACCCACUUUUACAACAAAACAUUCAUAACUCUUUGGGCAAAGUAUUUCAUCACACACAAAGUGGCUAUCCCAUAUCAUUCACAAAUUAGUGGCCAAGUCAAUAUCUCCAAUCGAUGAAUAAAGUAUAUAUUAGAACAGACGGUGAAGCUAGACAGAAAAGAAUGGUCAUUGAAACUCGAUGAUUCACUAUAGGCUUAUUGAAUGGCUUUUAAAACCCCUAUUAGGAUGUCACCUUAUAGGCUAGUGUAUAAGAAAGUUUGUCACCUAUCUAUGGAAAUCGAGCAUUGUACAUACUGGGCUAUCAAGAAAUUUAACUUUGACAUACAACAAGUUAGUUUGGAAAGAAGAUUAUAGCUAGUAUUAAAGAGAUUCACAAUAAUGUAUAUGAAAAUGACAAACAUUACAAGUAGCAGAUGAAAGUCUUUCAUGACAAGAAUAUUAUGAGAAAAUCUUUUAUACCAGGUUAGAAAGUGAUGCUAUUCAAUUCUCGCUUACAUCUAUUCCCAAGUAAAUAACACUCUUGAUGGUAUGAUCCAUUCAUUAUUCGCACUAUUUUUUCAUGUGGGCUAUUGAAAUUAAGGAUCUAAAGAAUAAUGUCACUUUUAAAGUUAACGGUAAAAAAUUAAAGUCCUAUAUAGAGUACCAACCAUAUGAAGAUGACACCAGAGGAAAUUUGAAAGACCCAUCACAUCUUGAUUAGGUUUUUUUUUUGGGAUGAUUUAACUUUUUGUUAUUUUGUUUUAUUGAUUAAAAUUAUUUUGAUUGUUUCCUACUUUAGUGCAUUUGUUUAAAAAUUAUGCUCUCUUUUAUCAAUUGUAUUUUAGGUCAUGAGUAUCUCAAUGAGACAAAUCUUAUUCAUUAACCUUAACAAACUUCUAUAUAUGAAGCUUGACGUAAGUGGUCUGCUCAAAAUUUGUAAAUCACAUCCUGUUUAGGAUCUAUGACCACUAGUGUUAGUAUCCUAUUUAGAAAGACAAUUCAUAGAAAUAGAAGGUAGUAUAUGUGAUAUCCAAUUAGAACUUACGAUAAACUCAAUAAGGAGAUGGUGGUGAGUUAACGUCCUAGUAUUUAUAUUGUUUGUUUUUGUUUUGUUGUUUGCCUUCACAUGCAUUUUGUUUUUGCUAGAUUAAUUCUUUUGUUUGGUAUGUUGUUAUUUCUUACCCUAGUUAAAUGGCAGAUAAUGGUACUCUGUAACCAUUAAAGUCAGUUCUAAUAAUUUUCCAUAAUAACUGACAUUUCCAAGCCAAGGUAUAAAUAAGAAUAUAAUUCUUGCAAAACUUCAUAAGUGAUUUCCCUCUCUCCCUUAGAAUGCAAUCCUCACGAUCUUUAAAACUUGAUCCAAACUCUUACAAUUACUUAUGAGAAAUACCGUUCUUGUUCACAUCCGUUGGUUAAUUGAAACCAAAGUAUGAUUAAGAAGGGAGUUACCUCUCAAAUUUGUUGCUUACAUGUCUGGCUACAGGAAAGGAAAUUAUUCAAGAAAAUGAAGAGCUAGACGGCUCCAAGUUUCUUAUCAUAAGUGUGCUCGAACAAACUAUAAUGAAAGUUCUAGUAUAUGUUUGGGAAUGAUGACCUAUAUUAGGGAAGAAAAGAUUCAAUUUAUUAGGGAUGACUUGAAUAAAAAGUCAUUAGAUGGCAUCCUUUCGACCCUUAAAACGUAUCCCAGUGAAUACGUACAAUGUGAAAUUUCCUAGUUAUGGCUAUUAUUCCAAAAGAAAUAUGCACCAUAAUGUCUUCAGCAUUUUAUAUACACUACCAUAUUUACUAGUUUAUCAUAAAACUGGAUGAGAGCCUUUCUCGAUGUAAAAUAAAAGAAAGAUAUGAGCCAUAAUCACAACUAAUAGUAUAUAUCAAUUUGUUUUACUAUUCUUUUAUCAUUUAAAUUAUUGUUUACUAGUGUGAUUUAUCUCCAUUUACUUUUUUUUUUGCAAUUUACUUUUGACUCUUGAACUAGGAACUUCACGCGUCAUUUUACAAACACACCACUUCAUUUACAACCUUGUAUCAUUAUAUCUCUCACUAAGAUCUUUAAAUAUGAGUUUUUUUAAACACUCACAAAUUAUUUUUGAGAUUGUCUCAAUGGCAGCAACUUUGAAUAGACAAUUGAAGAACGUUUGCAUGCUUUCUGGCUUUCGUUAUGGAAAAUACAAAGUGUUUGCUCAAGCAGCUAUGGAUCUUGGUCAAGUACUUGUCUCAGAAACUACUUACACUAGAGGAAGUUAAGUGCUUGGUAUCAUCCUACACCCCUAUAACCUCUGGAAUGCCUGCCCGGCUCACCAAUUGCAAAUAAGCUAGUCAUCUUAAGUUUGCAGGAGAAAAUAACCAAGACGCAAAACCUUAAUAAUGCUUUAAUUUUCUUACCAAGAGAUCUUGCAAUUGUAGAGGCAUAAAUUAUAUUCGCAUCUUGGGCCCAUUCAAACAUUAAUAAAAAUUCAUCAAUUUUUUCUAAACUCUACUUCUUUUCUUUCAAAAGUUGAGGACAAUAUCUCAUUCUAGUCGGGGGACAAAAUAAUUGAUAGUUGUGUUGUUGUACUUUUACUAAUUUUUUUUUUAAUUUUUGAGUCAAAGAUGGCCGAAUGUGGAGUUUAAUUACUCUAGAAAUGUAUAUUCCUAGUCUUGUAGUUUAGUUAAAAAAUAAAAUAAAAAUAAAAUAAAAAUAAAAUAAAAAUAAAAUAAUGAAAUAAUACAAUUUAAGACACUUUUUGUGAUCUUUUGAUAUUGGAUGACGUGAUGGCUUUUAAAUUUUACAAUUUAUAUUAUCUUUAGCUUUGAAUUAUGUUACACCAUAUUUGCCACUUUGCAAAUUGAUGUUGGUUAGAUGUGUGAAUUGAGAAAUUGAUGAGUGAAAUUCAUUGAGCUAUUUGAAAGAACGUACAUGUCAAAAUAAGCUCCAAGUGAGUUUUUGAAUCUAUUAUUUAUCUUAGAGAGCAACCUUUUUCCAUAGCUUACUAGUUUAUUAUUUUAUACAUAAUCUCUAUCUUUUUCUUUUGAGUCGACCAAUGAAAAGAAUUGUGUGUUGUUACGUCUGAAAGUCUAUUGAACUAGUAGAUAUAAAGAUUAUUUAGAUCUUUAACAAAUGACAGAAGUUCAUGUUUGAUCCAUUUGAGUCUCUUCUGGCCAUCCUCAUUGUGAAAUAUCCAUAGUCACCCCUUUUGAACCUAUUAAAAAAAAAUUAUUUGUUAACGUAUUAUCAUAUCCUACUUCAAUUUAGAGCAUUACCAUAUAUUUUAUGUUUUCCAUCACUUAUCCAUCAUUGAAAAAAAAAAAUAUGAUAAUGAAAUAAGAAAAAAUAAAAAAGGGAAAAAUAUAUAAAACACAUUGCAAUUCCCAAAAGAUCUCUAUUGUUUUUCCAAGCAUAUAUUUUGUUCUUCUUAUUAUUCCUUCUUUUUUAGCCAUUUCUAUAGCCCACAUUACAAAAUAGUAAAAGUUCUUCUUGGUUUUAGAGAACUACAAUCUGAAGUAGAAGCUGAUAAUAUGGCCUAAAACAUGUGGUGAUGCAUAAAACUAUAUACAAAUAAUAUUAUUGGUAGAUCAAAAAAAGAGAAGAUGCAAAAUGAGGAAAUGCUUUAAUGUAAAAUGACAAGGCCAUUACAUCAGAGAUUGUGAUGAAAAGAAAAAAGGAUGAGAAAGAGAGAACAAGGGACGCAGCAGUGGCUUCAGAUGAUUGAUAUCAUAGUGCUGACUUGUUGGUGGUUUCAAAUAGCAAUAUAAGAAGUCAAUGGAUCCUUAACUCAAGGUGUUCCUUUCAUUUGUGUCCUGGUAGAAGUCUCUUUUAUGAGUCUGUGGAUGGUAGUAGAGUCUUGAUGGGAAACAAUAAUGUGUAAGAUUGUUGGUAUAGGGUCUAUCAAAAUCAGAAUGAUUGAUGGGGUUAGAAGAACUUUAUAUAAUGUGAGGCAUGCACCUAGGCUAAAGAGAAAUUUAUGCUCUUUAGGUAUGCUGGAUUGUCCAGGAUACUUCUUUAUGUCUAAAAGUGAUAGUUUGAGGAUUAUUAAAGGGACUGAAAUGGUAAUGAAAAGUGUAAAGACGAUUUGUCUUUAUGUGUUAGAAGGGUCACCAGUACCUAUGUUAGCUACAAUACCUGAUGUUCUAAAGUAGAUAGAACCAAGUCACGGUAUCUUAUACUUGGAUGCAUAAGUGUCAAGGGGAUGCAAAAGCUAAGCAAGCAAGGGUAUCUUUGUGGUGAUAAGAUAAAUGAGGUAGAGUUCAGUGAAAACAACAUUUUUGGAAGAGCACAUUGGUCCAAAUUCACAAAGGGACUGCACACAUCUAAACAAGUUUUGGAUUAUGUUCAUGCUGAUUUUUUGGGGCCUUGCUCAGGUCCUUUAUUUUAAUUAACUGUUGACUUUAAUAACUUGUUGCAUUAUCAUGCAUGGUAAUUGAAUAUACAACUAAUUGAUAUCAUCAUUUUUAGUAUUUUUUUUUAAUUCAGUUUAUGUCUUAGAUUUUUUAUCUUUAUUUAAUUGUUUUCCACUUAUUAUUAUAAAUAUUAUUAUUUUGUAAAGUUUUAUUCCUGUUAUUCAUAUUUAAAUGAGUUCUUUAAUAUCUAGGCAUAGCGUGCAAGUGAAAAAUAUGACAUAAAAAAAAGUGACAUAGAAAAUGAAAUAAUAAUAAAACAAAAUAACUAGUAAAAGCUAAAUUGUAUUGAAAUAUGAUUUUUUUUUUUUAUAUUUGUAAUUGUAAGUUGGUGUGACCUUAAUCCAUUUUUCUACUUGUUUAUUUAUUUUGUAAUGUCAUCAAAGGAUUUGGAUUCAUGGACAUUAAAAUUUGCUAAGAGCACCUUUCAUUUUAUAAAAUAUUUUAUUACAUAAGUGUCCUUAAAUCAAAUCACAUGUAGAAAAAUUACUCCCACCUCUUAAAUAUUAAAAUAGAAAAUAAAAAUGUAUUAAAAGACAGAUUAAAAAUAUAAAAAAGUGUAAAAUAUGCAUGUUAAAGUACUGUUUAUAUUUUAAAUAACCCUAAUUGGAGAUAGACAUAAAAUAAAAAGGAUUUAGAUUUGGUGUUUAGCUAAAUUUUUAUUAGCUUUUGUAAAAUACUGUGACAUGUGCUUUUUAUGAAUUUUAAUGGUUAAGAUUUAGUUUCUCUUAAUAGCCUAAUGAAAAUAAUAUCGUUUUCUUGGUUUUAUUCCCCUUUUUCUUUCAAUUUUGUGGUUUUUUUUUAUUUCAUGAACGUAUGGAAACUAUGAAAUCGUUUUUUUUAAUCAUCCUAGAUAUUAAGAAAUUCCAAAUAAAUUCUAACUUAAAGACUUUUCAAGCUUUUGCAACCGCUCAUACUGAGAAUAGCAAACUUUUUUAGAGGUGAAAUCAGCGAGGGCUUGGAGUUUGAGUAAGAACAUUGCUAGCUCCAACCAAAAUGAGAAAGGCCAAGAGAAGCAAAUCAUUAAUUAGUAUGUAUAGAGACUGAAAUAGAACAAAAACUAUCAAAAAGCUUGGCUAAGCAUUGGACUCAAAUCCUAAAUAGGACAAAUGGUCCUAAUAAAGUAAUUAUAAUCGUUUGAUUAUUAUUAAUAUUUAACUGAAUGCUCUCUCAUAAAUUGAUUCAAAGAUAUACAAUAAAUUAGUACUACAAUAUAACACACACAACAUAUCAUAUGCUUAUAAUAAAUUAAUUCUUUAUUAUAUUAAAAAUAUAGGAUCAAUUUCUCAACAAUUGAUGGUUAUAACAAAAUUAUUCAUAUGGCAAAAGACAAAUAACUAUUUAAAAAAAUCAUUGGCAUCCAAUAACAAGCUCUAGGGGUAUAAGGCGUAAUCAUUCUCAAGGGAGUUAGGAUAGAUUCUUUAAUUGUAAGUUCCAAGCAGCCGCCACUAUUUGGUGAUGUUGCAAAAUUGGUACACAUUGAAACAUAUAGUUUACAUUCUUGAUCAGUACAUUGAUGCUUGAAAUAAGUAUGUAUUAAGUGCUUGCUACUAUAAGGAAGUCAGGAUGAUGAAACCAAGACUUUUUGACAUUUUAUAUUUUCUAAACUGAAACAUAAACAACCUAUUGAGAAUUAAAAGAGAGGUAAAGAAUAACAAACAUAUGAGGCUCUGCAUAUAUAAAUGAAUAUUGAGAAAUGAGGUAUAAUGACCUUUAUGAGGUUGUUGAUUCUAUUUAUGAGUAUUUAAUAAGUCAGGAUGAUGAAACCAAGACUUUUUGACAUUUUAUAUUUUCAUAACUGAAACAUAAGCAACCUAUUGAGAAUUAAAAGAGAGGUAAAGAAUAACUAACACAUGAGGCUCCGCAUAUAUAAAUGAAUAUCGAGAAAUGAGGUAUAAUAGACUUUAUGAAGUUGUUGAUUCUAUUUAUGAGUAUUGAAUAAGUUAGGAUGAUGAAACCAAGACUUUUUGACAUUUUAUAUUUUCUAAACUGAAACAUAAACAACCUAUUGAGCAUUAAAAGAGAGGUAAAAAAUAACAAACACAUGAGGCUCUGCAUAUAUAAAUGAAUAUUGAGAAAUGAGGUAUAAUGAAUUUUAUGAGGUUGUUGAUUCUAUUUAUGAGUAUUGAAUAAGUCGUAGUGCAUUUAUUUGCAUUAACUAUUGACUUUAAUAUCUUGUUGUGUUCUCAUUCAUGGUAAUUGAAACAUACAUCUAAUCAAUUUUAUCAUUUUUUUAGUAUUACUUUUUAUUGAAUUUAUCACUUGGUUUUUUUUCUCUUUAUUUAAUGCUUGUUAUAAAUAUUGGGAUUUUGUGAAAUACUAUUCAAAUUUAAACGAACUCGUUAAUCGCUAGACAUAGCGUGCAAGCGAAAAAUAUAAUAUAAAAAAUAGUGACACAUAAAAUGAAAUGAAAAUAAUAAAAUAAUUAAAGAGCAUGGUACUCAAACGUAACCAAAAGAAAACCGUAGAUUAACCAAAUUUUAAAAAAAUAUUGUGAAUAGAAAAUCCGAUCCUCUUCUUCUCUCCAUUUCUGCUAAAGAAUAUAUACAAAUAUAUAGAAGGAAGAGAAAGCAAGAAGGAGAAAAUUAACAGUGUCAAUACUUCCAUCUGCAUCAAAUUCAAGCAUUAAAUCGUGCUCCACCACAUUGUCUCCUUACAGACUUAGGCUUAUUUCCCUUCAGUAUCAGCUCAAAUAUUGAUGAUUCCAUGAAUGAGCAUUAAAGAUGCUUUUAUUUUUAUUAAUUAUUAACUUGCACAAUUAAUUAAUUUUGUCAUUUUUAGUGUUAUUAUCUUUAUUUAAUUUAUAUGUCAGAUUUUUCUCUUUAUUUAAUCUAUUGAAAUUAUUAUCAUUAUUGUGAAAGCGUUAUUCCAAAUUUUUGGAUUUAAAUUAAACUCUAUUCGUAGCGGGCAAAAAGUGACAUCACAAAAAAGUGACAUAGAAAAUAAAAUAAAAAUAGUAAUAAAAUAAAAUAACUAAUAAAAACCACAAUACUGGAAUAGAGUCAAUAGAAAACCGCAAAUUACAUAUAUAGACAAAUGACACCUCCUCUAAAAUAUUAGAGUAGAAGUAUUGACAGAAGUUUAGAAAUUAGGAAGGGUAAAAUAUUGGUGUUAAAAGUGUUUUUAAAGUACAAAUAAUUACACCCUAGUAGCAGAUAGAUAUAGUAUACAAGGGUGGGAAUGCUUGCACAUUUAAAUUAUCUUGUACAUUCCCUUAUUUUGCACACUCAUUUAUUAAUUUUAAAAUUAAUUAUACAUUGUACACUUUUUAAAAUGUCAAAAAAUUUCUUGCUUUUUAGAUUAAUUACCUUUAUUUACUCUCACACUCAUGAGAAAACACACUAAAAUAAUUUCUCCAAAUAUUCUUUUUAUUAAAAUUUAAUUAUUUGGUUAGAUAAUCAAUUUUGCCAAUAAACAAAUAAUGAUCGACAACAAAACUGGAUGAGCCAACAACUCGCAUCAAAAGAUUUCACCAUUCAAAAGAUCAUAAGAAAUAAACAUUAUAAAUCAAACAAAUAAAUCAAUUAAGCAAAAAUGGUUAUCACUUACAUCACAUUGCUUUUAGCAGGCUCUUGCUUGCUAGUUGGAAAGACAAAAAAAGGGCAUGAAAGUAGCAUCCGAAAGAUUAUAAUUAAACAAUUGUACUUUCUGUGUUACAAGGCUAUGAAAAAUUAAUACUUUUUGUGUUGUAAACUAGAGAUCAAAUGGAUCACACAUACCUCAUUGAAAUUAAAAUCUUCAAACAUGUUGAGCUACUCCUCUGUAAAUAUUUGUUCAAGGGGUUGGGAAGAAAAAUUAUAGGGGUCAAAUGGUAAGAAAAGUUAACAGAUAUAGAUAAAUUACAUACAACAAAUCAAUACCAUGUAACAAACACAAUAUAUCACAUGCUCAUAAUGGAUUAAUUCCUUCUUUUAUUAAAAUAUAGCAUCAAUUUCUUUACAAUUGAUGGUUAUUGCAAAAGUAUUCAUUUGGCAUAAGAGGAAAACUAUUUAACAAAAUCAUGGGUUAUAGAUGAUGGUGUAGUCUUGACUAUCAUGGUGAUACUUAUUGUAACAUUCUUCUGGUGUAAGUCCAAAGCACUUGUCGCUAUCAGGUGAUAUUGCAGAAUUAGAUUCUUGGCCGGUACUAGUGCUUGAAACAUGUGAGUUUUCAGUGCUUGCAACCAAAAGCAAAGCCAAGAUAAUGAAACUGAGACUCUUCGACAUGUUAUAAUUUCUAAACUUAAUUGUAAACAACUUAAUUAAAAUUAAAAGGAGGUGAUGCAUAAGAAAUACAUGAGGCCCUAU
rnacentral:lncRNA from 1 species